CGACCACCUCGAAUGGUCUUAGUGCAUUCAUCAUGUACAUGUUCUACAAGCCCAAUUUUGGGCCCAAAACCCCUAAACCCACCAAGCCUAAAACCCAACAAAACCAAAAUACCCAAACACAGUUUACAUCAAACCCUAGAGCCCAAAUCCUAGCCCCCUGCAGAGAAGAGAAAACAGCAGCAGCCCUCAAGCCUCAGCAGCACACUCGGCCAACCAAUGGCCGCCUCGCGCACCACCACCGGCAUUGCUCCCUCUAUGCGUCUGACACACCCAUACCCUGCAAACACAAACAAUAAAAACAACAGCCACAACAAAGGAAUGAGGGCAUUUUUUAUUGUUAUUGCAAUCGGUUAUAAAACCGAAUGGAGGACAGAUUGUACUAAGGGAGGGAGGAACUGAUUGUAUUGGAGGAUGGAUUUUCAAUAUCCAAAAGGGGGGGAUUGUAUUUCGAAAAAAGAAAAGGAAAAAACAGAGAGCACCCAAUACAAAAAAUCAAUCAAAAACCAAAACUUUAAAGGUGAUUCCUCUUUUGUUUCAUUUUUUUCUUUAAAAUCUCUGUUACUUUUAUUUUCUUUUAUAUUUUUUUUGUUUGAAUAAAAAUAAUAAAAAUAAAACAAAAAGAGUAGAAAAAGGAGGGUACUCACCUUCGUUGGCCUCUUCGGCGCCGGAAGAAAUUCGUUCGAGCAACGCCAGCCACUGGCCCACAACGGCAGCGCAAUGGACCACAAUGCCGGACAUGGGGAGUGAAAGGAGAGCAAAGAAAACUCUCUGUCUCUUUUUUUUUCUAAAUAAUGCUGAAACAAUAAAAAAAAAAAAGAACAAAUUUGGCUUAAAUAAGCCAAGCAAAACGACGGGGGGAAGUUUGAAGGGGGACCUGCAUGCUUUUGAGGCCCUAAUGGGAUAUUUUCGGUUAUGGUCCCUCCUUCUUUCCUAUGCCAUUCUAUUUGGUCCCCUUUUUGCAUUUUUUUUCUUUUUAAAUUUUGUCUUUUAUUUUACUUCAUUCCCGUUUUAAUCCUUGACUUGGACAGAUGAAGCACAGCGCAUAAUGAUGUGGGAUAUUGUCCCAUUUUAUCCUCGUGCGUUUAAGCGCAUUUUGAUUCAGUCCCUGUUGGUCUUUUUCUUUAUUUGCAAUCGAUACCUCAAAUUUUGAUUUAGUUUCAAUUACACCCUGAAUCCUUUUAUUUUAUUCAUUUAUUUAUUUUGUUAUAUCAAAAUAAGAUUUAUGUGUUUACUCAAAUAUUUUAUAGGCUGUAUAGAUAAGAUUGCUUAUAUGUGUUAUUUAUUUUGGUUUGUUUAAAUAUGUUGGUUAUUUAAAAUUGUAUUAUUAUUUGUUUCAAACUGUUUCUUUAACACUAUGUAUUCUAAAUUGUUGUACAUAUUAUAUUUUGGCUCUUCACAUAUUAUCUAUAUAGCAUUUCAAAUCUUUUACACAUAUUAUAAAAAUUUUUUGUUUUGUAUAUUACUUCUUUAAAUCUCUUUUACUUUAAAUUCUUACUUAUUAUUUUAAAUCGACUUACAUGUUAUUUAUUUUUAAAAUUGUUUUAUAUAUCUUAUAUUAAACUCUUUUAUUUAUUUAAAAAAAACAUAUUUAUUAUUUAGGUUUUACAUAUGUAUCAUUUAUUUUAUACUUUUAUAUAUAUAGGUAUGUAUAUAUAUUAUUUAUUUUAAAAUUACUCAUAGGAAUCCUUUUAAUUUGCCUUGUAAUAUAGAUUUUAAAAUUCUUCUACAUUAUUUAUUUUAAACUCACUUUAUGUGUUAUUCAUUUUAAAUCAUUUUAUUAUUUACUUUAAAAUUUUAUAUCUAUUAUCAAUUUCAAAUCGUUAUGUCUAUUUUUAUGUAUGUAUAUACUAGUUGUUUCUUUGAUGUCUGGUAUAUUACUUAUUCUAAAAUUUUCAUACAUAUGAUCUAUUUUUUUAAAUUGCUUUGUAUAUUGUUGAUAUUAAAUUUCUUUUUUUCACAAUAUUUAUUUUGAAUCUAUUUAUUAUCAUUUUAAAAGUUCUUUUACAUUUUAUUUACUUUAAUUGUUUUUAAAUUUUCUUAAGUUGUUGUAUAUAUUAUUUAAUUCAUUGGUUUUCGAUUAUUAACGUUAGUAUUUAAAUGAUGUAUGUUGCGAGAUUAUUGUCAUUGCGUAUACUAUGAUUCGUUUAUUUGUAUUCUCAUACUAUUCACUUGUGUAGUAUUUUUUAUCAUCGUUUCAUGUCGCACUAUACUUUUCAUAUCAUCGCCUCAUGAAUCAAGUCUCGUGGCACUUAUCCAAUAAAUCGUUCUGUUUUAAUUCAAGCCAGCGACACGUCGUUUAAACAUCGAAUUCGCUACCAUUAAAAAAAACAAAAAUCUUCUAAAUAAGGCAAUGUUUCGUGUUUGGAAUUUCGAGAAAACCGUACCCUAACUCACUGGGCUUCGAUUUUUCUAAUUUAAUCCAAAUAACGGAAUAUUCCUUUAAAUCACCAUACGAGUUUUGAAAAUGCUUAUUCUCAGAGAUACGAAGUGUUGUGCCCUAACUUACGGGGUAUGACAUUUCGUCACCUCGAAAUAAGAAUUUUUUUUUAAAAAUAAAAGCAACAUUCGGUGUUUGGGGACUCGAGAAAACGUGCCCUAACUUACUGGGUUUCGAUUUCUCUCGUUUACUCUAAAUAAUCGAAUACCUUUUUUAUGAAUUAAAAAACGCAAAUUUUAUAUAAAAGGCAAGCUCGCUCUCAAAAAUCCAAGAUGUCGUGUCCUAACUUACUAGAUGUGACAUUUCAUAUUUUGAGACGAGAAGAUCUUUAACACUUUAGCAUUUUUAUAAAGAAGGAUUGCAUUUCAAAAGUCUUUCAAGUUUUCAAUCUUCGAUACUAAGACACUAAUUAAUCAACUAGGUACCAAUUUUGGGCGUAGCGAGGGUGCUAACCCUUCCUCGUGCGUAACCGACUCCCGAACUCAUUUUCUGAUUUUCGUAGACCAAAAAAAAUUAUCGUUUUAGUAAAUCUUAAAUUUUAUUAAAAUGAUUAAUUUAAGGUGAUCCGAUCACACCUCAUCAAAAAGGAUUGGUGGCGACUCCCAUUUUUCAUUUUCGUUUCCAAAACUUAAGUCGAUUCCCGUUUUUCAAAAAAAUGGUUACGACAGCUUCGCGACUCCACUGGGGACACAAAUGAGAGAGUCAAGCCACAAGUUGAUUAACUCUUGUCUUUUUAUCGAAAAUUAAAAACUUGGUUUUGAAAUACGAUCCUUUCAUUGCAUUUCAUCAGCUAUUUUUGUGGUACAAUACCUGUUGCGUUGGUUCGAGUCUUUAAAUAGUUUUGUAUAUUGCAUUGCAUGACUGCUGUGGUCACACCCCUUUAAGUGGGAGUGAGAAACUACUCCUUCGUGAGGUUUUCACCUCCGUGUAGGAUAGUGGAUCACUUUCGGGAUACAUCCGUACCUAUGUCUUCGUGAGAUUUUCAUCUCCGUGCAGCCAUAGGGAAAUGUAUUCCCCUAAACUGAACUCGGUCUGUAUGAGCCUAUAAUGGGUGAAGAUCGAGGAAUCUGCUGGUUGAGGUACCCUUACUCUAGAACCAAACCCCAUGUAGCGAGCCUUAAGAACCCGCCCUAGGUAGAGCCACUCCGAAACCCUAGUGGUCACCUGAGCAAGUGCUAUAUUUAUUAUUCUUUGUUUGCUUUGAACUGUGUAUAAAUUACUGACUUGCUUUGUUUUACUUUGAUUGUAUUUGCAUGGCAUUUUCAUUAUAAAAGGUGUUGAUUCGAAUUCGGUUCCUAAAUAGAUAGCUUAUCAUGGAAAAGAGGUUUUUUGAUAAAGUAGAAGACAACGCGGCUAUCCGGAUAUGGGCUGAGACAACACAACAAGAGAAAGGUGACAGUCUUACCGAGGGGCACGUGUCAGAGUUAUGGAAUUUUAGUCGGAUCAGCGUAACUCAGAAUAAUCUCCAAGAGAUGAAAGAAAUUUGGAGUCAGUGGGAUGAUGAGGUCAAACAGAUAUUCUAUUGUCAUUAUGGUGAUUUACCUUAUCAGCUCGAUGUCAAGGUAGAUGAACACCUAUUUCGAGCCCUUGCCCAAUAUUGGAAUUCUGCUUACAGUUGCUUCACUUUCGGGAAAGUAGAUUUGGUACCUACUAUAGAAGAAUACACGACCUUGCUCCAUUACCCAAAGAUUUAGGUUGACAGAAUUUAUGCCAGACCUGUUAACGUCCCAGCAUUUUCAAAAAAGCUGAUGAACAUCACAGGGAUGAGCGAACAGUGGGUGACAACCUGGAUCAAACAAAAAGGAGAUUGUAAAUGCAUUCCUUGGAGGAACCUAAGGGAUCUAGUCUUAGCGCACCCUGACCUGAAGAAAAGGGUAGAUGUCUUCACCUUGAGCAUUUAUGGACUGGUCAUCUUCCCCAAAGCUUUGGGGCAUGUAGACGAGGCUGUUGCCGACCUUUUUGAUAGGCUUCGUAAAGGAACCACACCUGUACCCGCAAUCUUGGCUGAAACGUUCAGAUCAUUAAAUGCUUGUAGAAGAGCGGGUGAAGGGAGAUUUAUUGGAUAUGCACAGCUCUUGCUAUCCUGGUUCCACAGCCAUUUUUGGAAAGUGGAAAAGGUCUUGAUUCGUAUCUUCUCUGAAAGUUACUCUCCGCUGAAAGAGUUAGUGGCUACACCGAGGCGAGAUGAUGUGACAAAAGAAAAUUGGAUGACGGUUCUCCAAAAUCUGCAAGAAGAAGAUGUUGAAUGGACAGCCCCGUGGAUGGUUCCUGAUGAAAUAUUAUACCGAUGCGGAGACUUCAAUUGGGUUCCCUUGUUAGGAGUAUGGGGGGUUGUCGGCUAUGCUCCUCUGCUUGCAUUGCGACAAUACAGAUCCAGACAGUUUACACCACUAACAUACCGGUUAGCCCAGUGCGAGUUCGUGUUCACAGGGAAUAAUUACAAAAAUAAAGUUUGCGAGAUAUCAAAUGCCUGAAACUAGACUCGUAGAAUGAAGAAGUUUGCUGCCAAUCCCAUGACUACUCCUGAGUACGACCGAUGGUGGAAUCAGAGGAUUAACGACAACAUCCCUACAUUAGAUCAAGGGAAUACUCAGUCGAUAGAAGAGCACUUAAAAGUAAUCCCAUCUGAGCUAGAAAUCAUCAGGCAAGAUUUAAAGAGAAAGAGUCUGGAGCUAGAGAAAAAGGAUCGAGCAGUUGGAAGAAGAAAAGAUGCAGUUAGGGUUAGAUGUCGAUGUCUAGAAACUAGAAGCUGAAAACUCAGAAAAGGGAAAAACAAGGCUGAAGAGGACUUAGACAGUUUGAAAACGGAGUAUAAGAAGCUACGCAGAUCAACGAGAACCGCUAGGUUAGGAAAAACAUCCGAACAAUGGCGACAUGAAGUUAAAGAAGAACAAAGCAAAGCCAACCUGUGGGAAGAAAAAUUUCGCGAUGCUCAAGCUCGAGAAGGUGCACUGAAAAGAAGUUUGGUAGAAAGCCAGAAUGAGAAAGAAGGGUUAAAGAUCCGGGUAUCAGAGUUAGAGAGGUCAUUGUAUCAGUAUCGCUCUCGUAACUUUGUAAUCUAGUUGAAAGCUAGUCAGAACAGAAUUGAAGAAUUCAAAGAGAAUAUAGAAUAACUCAAAACAACGCUGCAAAAUCGUGAACUUCAGAUAGAACUCCUCGAGGUAAAUAACGAGCAAUGGAAGGAGCAAAUUCAUCAAUCUCAAGACCAAGUCAGGAGCAAGGACUAUGUCAUGGGCGAAGCUUUGACUCAAGUGCGAGAAGUGGCUGAUCACUUGCAAACAUUAGCAGUACAAGCCGAUGUGCUGAGUUUAAAAUACGAGUCAGAAUCAGACCGAGGACGAGAGCUAGCUUGGCUUCUUAGGUAGGUCAAGGCCUUAAGUAUCAGGGCCAAGCCUUAUAUGUAAUCUAUUUUAUGUAAAGAAACUUGUUUUCUAGAAAAGUUACUCUAAUGAAAUCGAAUUGGAAUCAACUUUUUUUUGCAUUCAUCGCAUUCAUUGCAUUCAUGCAUCAGCAUUGCAUCAUACGCACUAAAACUCACAAGAAACCCUAAAAAUCAUGGCAGUUACCCUGGAACAUCGUUACGGUACAAGGGGAAAAACAAGAGCAAUGGACCAAAGGUUAGAGAGAUUGGAACAAAUGCAAAAAGAGAUGCAGGAUCAAUUACAAGCACGUAUGCAAGAACAGCUUGCCAAAAUCCAGUAAGAUAUGAGGGACCAUAUGUUGGAGUCCCAGAAAAGCAUGAUGGACCAAUUAACUCGUCUAUUGGCUGGCGAAUUAGAAAAAGGGAAAAGCCCUUUGAUCAAUGCGGGAGAAGAUAAUGAAGAUUCUACCUACCCUCCGGGUUUUGCCCCAGCGGACGUUCAGACACAACCUGAUAUGUACCCAAGAAGGCCAUCGGUCACAAUUAGGCCCCAAACAUUUCAGGUCGGUGUUCAGCACCGAUGAAUUAUCAAGCUGGCUCAGGCUCUAAUCCGGGGGAUAACCUGACCAAUCCUGUGGUCUUCAAUCUCAAUGAAGUAACAGAAGCAAAAAAGACAAGGGUAGAACUCCCGAGAGAGCUUGAAGAAAGGUGUAGAUGGUUGGAAGAAAAAUUUAAAGAAAUGGAAAGCACCGACUAUCGUGGUGGAAUCGAUGCUAAGGAAUUAAGUUUGGUUCCGGACCUGAUGCUCCCUCCCAAGUUCAAAACUCCGGAAUUUGAGAAAUACAACGGGACUAGCUGUCCCGAAGCUCACAUCACUAUGUUCUGCAGACGAAUGGCAGGCCAUGUCAAUAAUGACCAACUAUUAAUUCACUGCUUCCAAGAAAGUCUGGUUGGGGCCGUUUCUAGAUGGUACAACCAGCUGAGUCGCGCCCAGAUCAGUUCAUGGAAAGAUUUAGCACAAGCCUUCAUGAAGCAGUACGGUCAUGUGGCAGACAUAGCCCCUGAUAGAAUCACUUUACAGAAUAUGGAGAAAAAACAUAAUGAGAGCUCUAGGCAGUACGCCCAGCGAUGGAGAGAAGUGGCCACACAGGUCCAACCCCCUCUGUUGGAAAAGGACACCAUUAUGCUCUUCAUCAAUACCCUGAAGGCACCUUUUAUUAACCACAUGCUGGGUAGUGCAACCAAGAGUAUUUUGGACAUAGUAAUAUCUGGAGAAAUGAUAGAAAAUGCCAUAAGAUGUGGGAAAAUAGAGGCUGGGGAAAACGCUAAGAGGUCAGCGCCGAGAAAGAAAGAGCAUGAGGUGAAUAAUGUGAGCUCAUAUUCGAAAUCGAUCACCGUAAGCCAACCAAGGUUGACAACUACUGGACAGCAGGGCCCACCCAGACAAGAGCCCAACACAAAACAAAAUAGGGAGAAACUUCAAUUUACGCCCAUUCCAAUGACGUACAAGGAGUUAUACAAGAGUUUAUUUGAUGCACAUGUCGUGUCUCCCUUCUACCUGAAGCCAAUGCAACCUCCAUACCCCAAAUGGUAUGACGCAAAUACCCAAUACGAAUACCAUGCGGGAGCCACAGGACACUCGAUAGAAAACUGCACCACUUUCAAGAAAUUGGUUGAAAGACUCAUCAACAUGGGCAUGAUGAUGCAUCCAAUACAGAGAACCCAUUACCUAACCAUGGGGAUAAGGGAAUAAAUGCGAUAAUCGAGAGUUCGGGGAAAGAAAUUAAGAUGAGUAUUGCAGAAGUGAAUACCCCCAUUGGAGGAAGUUUGGAAGAAAAUGGUGGAAAGAGGGUUGAUAGCACAGAAUUCAAGGGUCAGACCUCGAGAAGCGAAGAAUUAUUGUGAGUUCCACGAUCAAGAGGAUCACGAGAUUCAAAAAUGUAGCCAAUUCAGGGCUUUAGUACAAGGAUUGAUGGAUAAUAAGGAGCUGGAAUUCUUCGAAUAUGUCGGAAGCCCGGAAAAAGCAGAUGUGUGUGCCUCCGAAGAGGGGUCGAUGAAGGAUGUUUACAAAGUCAACCACCUAGUGGUUAUCAUAUCAUGUCCGAGAAUGAAUGAAGCCGGGGCACAAGUUAUGCCAAAGGUCGUAAUCCGGAAGCCCGUUGCUUUCUCUUACAAGGAUAGCAAAAGGGUACCGUGGAACUAUAGCUGCAAUGUGACAUUCCCGGGAGAGGAGACCCCGAUUAAUGCAUCAGAGGAAGUUCAAGAUGAAGGUUUUUAUACGCGCAGUGGAAGGCGUUAUACCCCAAAUACAAAAGUCGAGCAGGUUAAAGAAAAAUCAUUAGCAAUUGAGCAAAAGAAAGAGAAGCCGGCGGGGCCUGAACCAACUGCUAACGAAUCAGUGACUGAAAAAGAAGCCAAGGAAUUCUUAAAAUUUCUAAAGAACAGUGAAUAUAGUGUCGUAGAACAGUUGCACAAAUAGCCAGCGCGUAUAUCGGUACUGGCCUUACUUUUAAGCUCUGAAACCCAUCGCAGCGCAUUGAUGAAGGUGCUGAAUGAAACUUAUGUUGCUAACGAUAUCUCUGUAAACAAACUGGACCGCUUAGUCAACAAUAUAAGUGCCGACAACUUCAUAUUCUUCAAUGACGAUGAGGUAACGCCAGGGGGCCGAGGAUCAACUAAAGCUUUGUACAUCACAACCCGCUGUAAAGGGUACACAUUAACGGGGGUAUUGAUUGACAAUGGGUCUACACUGAAUGUCCUACCCCUAUCUACACUGAGUAGGUUGCCAGUGGAUAGUUCCCAUAUGAAGACAUGCCAAAGUGUAGUGAGAGCAUUUGAUGGCACGGAAAGGAAGGUAAUGGGGAGAAUUGAAGUACCCCUCUUAAUCGAGCCGAGCACAUACGAGGUAGAUUUCUUGGUCAUGGACAUUAAGCCUUCGUAUAAUUGCCUAUUGGGGAGACCGUGGAUACACUCGGCGGGGGCAGUCCCUUCAUCGCUGCAUUAAAAGUUGAAAUUAGUGACCGAAGGUCGGUUAGUAAUGAUCAAUGCUGAAGAGGACAUCAUCGCGGCAAUAACCAGUGACGCCCUAUACCUUGAGGCAAAUGAUGAAGCAAUCGAGUGCUCUUUUCGAUCUUUGGAGUUUGUGAACGCGACAUUCAUCACCGAAGGAAAUAAGAUUCCAAUGCCCAGGUUAUCUGAGACUACAAGAAUGGGACUACGGCUAACUAUUGGAAAAGGGGCUCUACGCGGAAGAGGACUCGGGAGAUACCUCCAGGGAAGGAUUAAUGUACCAAUGAUGAAGGAAAAACAAGACCAUUCUGGGUUAGGGUUUAAGCCAAACAUGAAACAAAGAAAGAAGGAACUUGAGAAGAAGCAAGAAAGAAGGAGAGCGCGAUUGAGCGGGGGAGAAAUCGAAUGGGAACCAAUGAUCUUCCCCCAUAUAUCGAAGACUUUUGUGUCUGGAGGGGUCAUUCACUCCGAACGAAAGACGUCGGGAAAGGAAACCUUGGAAGGAAUGCUGGAGAGUUUGGACAUCAACACCACAUAUGAAGAAGGGACGGGGGUAGAGAAUUUGUCAGGCAUUCGCCCCUAUGAGCCGGGAAGUGUUCUGAAUAAUUAGACUGCGGAAGAGAUUCCUGUAGUCUUUAGAACUAACUCAGAGUAAUGUCCAAAACACACUUAUUGCUCUAGGCCUAGGAGUAAUAAGUGUCCUUUUGUGAAAUAGGCUUAUGUUUGAAAUCGUUAUUUCAAUAAAAUGCAUCCUUUUGACUUAUUCCGUUUCUUUCAUUCAUGAUCAUACCAUACAUAUCAUUGUUCUUAGAUUCUCUUGUUCUUUGUAUCUUCCUUCACACCUACAACAGGUCUCCAGAUAUCAAUGAUGUGAGUGACGUUGCUACUAAUUCAGAGUCUCCUUUUGAGCGGGAUAUGUGUCUAGAGGGAUCUCAGGAUUUUGAGGAUGACGGAGAUUGUAACUUAUCCCCUGAUUUGUUAAGGAUGGUAAACCACGAGGAGAAACAGAUUCUACCCCACAAAGAGACCAUAGAAGUCGUGAACUUGGGAGAUGAACUAGAAAGGAAAGAAGUAAAGAUUGGAGCUUGCAUUACCACAGAGACAAAACGGGACCUUAUUGAGUUACUACAAGAGUUCAAGGAUGUCUUUGCAUGGUCAUAUCAAGAUAUGCCUGGGUUAAGUACUAACAUUGUGGUACACAGGCUCCCCAUCAAAGAAGAAUACAAACCAGUCCAGAAAAAGCUUCGAAGGAUGCGGCCCGAUGUUUUGUUGAAAAUAAAAAAAGGAGGUCAAGAAGCAAUUUGAUGCUGGUUUCUUACAAGUAGUUACAUAGUCGAAAUGGGUAGCCAACAUCGUCCCAGUCCCUAAAAAAGAUAGAAAAGUACGGAUGUGUGUAGACUACAGAGACUUAAACAAAGCUAGCCCAAAGGAUAAUUUCCCGUUGCCUCAUUGUAACGCCCCGUACCUGAGACCGUCGCCGGAGUCGAACACGAGGUGUCAACAGACUUAAUUCAUUACUUAAACAGCUCAAACAAUUUAUUUUUAAAAUUUUCAGUCAAGCUAACAAUCUGCAUCACAGUCUCUUAAAAAUUCAUAUCUCGAGUUCCAAAACUCUAAAUCUAAUUCUGUAAAUUUUCCCUGAAACUAGACUCAUAUAUAUAUUUAUUAAUUUUUUUCUAGAAUUUUUGGUCAAGCAAAUUAGUACAGUUUAUUAGUUAAAGUCUCCCCUAUUUCAGGGUUCAACUGCACUGACCUCUGUGUAUUAUGAAUCAUAUAUCUCCCUGUACAGAGUUUCAAUGAGUAUUUCGUUUGUUUAUAAUAAAACUAGACUCAAUAAAGAAUCUGUACAUAUAAAUUAUGACUUCUAAUUAUCUUUGAAAAAUUUAUGGUGAAUUUUCAAAUUCAGAACAGGGGAUCUAGAAAUCGCUCUGGCCCUAUUUCACAAAAAUUUAAACAUCUCAUAAAAUAUAACUCAUAUACCUAUUUUGUUCCAUCCAUAUGAAAAUAGACUCAUAAUUAUUCAAUUCCAUAUUUUAUUUACCAUCUAAUUGUAUCUCUACUAUUUUUAAUGAUUUUUCAAACUCACGUCACUGUUGCUGUCUGAAUCUAUUUUAUGGUAAAUUUUACCUAUUUCAUGGUUUCCAUGAAUUAGCUAGCAAUUUAGCAUACAUAACACCAAAUAUGAUCAUGAUUAGCCAUUCCAAUGGCUAAUCAUUACCAAGCAUUUCCAUACCACUCAAUAACCAUAUCAUAAGACCAUAUAUACAAAAUGAUUAUAAUGCUAUACAUGCCAUACUAAAAAUAUGCAAGCCAUUAUGCCAAGAUGGUAUACGGAUAUAGUGUGAGCAUGCCUCCGACCAUUCCCGAUUUCCAAGCUGGCUUGUCAACACUACAAGGAAUGAAAAGGAGGAAGUAAGCAUAAAUGCUUAGUAAGCUCACAUGCAAAUAGCAAGUAACACAACUAUAUAAGCAAACAUAAAACAUCAUUUGCAUAAUCAUCACCGAGACAUUCAUAUCACAUUUUCAUUUAUCAUCUUACCAUAUUGUUGUUAUAUCGAGUUUUCAACCCGAGGGUUAAGUACAUACCUGUUCAAAGUAUUCAUUUCACAACACUUACCAAUAUUUCCCUUUCAUCUCGAGUAUUCCUCCAUUUGAGUAGAAUUUUACCCGUUGAACACAUCGGAAUAUAAUUCAGAUACAUGGAAAGUUUGCACAUAAGUGCCACAUAUGUAGCCAGGCUACCAUGUAACCCGCCCAUAAGUGAACUCGGACUCAACUCAACGAGCUCGGGUGUUCGUAUCCUUAAGUUAACUCAGACUCAACUGAACGAGCUCGGAUGCCUAGUUACAUCUCUCGAACUCGAACUCAACUCAACGAGUUCGGACAUUCGCAUCCAUAAGUGAACUCGGACUCAACUCAACGAGUUCGGAUGCCCAAAUAUCCUAGUGACAUGUCACUUUUAUCCUAAUCUAUUCCUAAGGUUCAAACGGGAUUUUCCUCGAACACAUCUCCAUGCCAUCUUCCGUAAAAUACCGAAACCAAUACUCGGUAGCACUUUAUAUUUAACAAAUAAUUCACAUAAUUUGUAUUUUAUUCGAAAAUAACCACAAAGCAUAUAUUUCAUGAUAAAAAUCAGCAUAUCAUAUAAUUAACAUCAAUAACUUAAAAAUAACAAUUAUACUACAUUAUUUACACAUGAACUUACCUCGUAUGCGAAAAUGGCUACUUUUACCAUUUCGUCCACAACUUGGUAUUUUCCCCAUUUUAGCCCGAAUUUUAGUUUUCCUUGAUCUAUCAUUUAAAAUAUAGUCUAAUUAGGACUCACAUUAUUCAAAUUGACCCAAAAUCAUAUUUUGGUAAAAUUACAGUUUUGCCCCUAAACUUUCACAUAUUUACACUUUUUCUCCAAAGCUCGUAAAUUAAACUUCAGCCUAUUUUCUUAUGUUUUAUGACAUGCUGAUCAUUUUUCCCUUCUAUGGCAACAUCAAAUUCUCACUCUAACAUGUACUUAUGACUAUUAGGUAUUUUUACCGAUUAAGCCCUUUUGCUCGUUUUCGCUUAAAACCGAGUAGUACAAGUUGUCUAACAUAAUUUAAAACUUCAUAUUCUAUCAUAAAACACCAAAAUACACAAAUUUCACCUAUGGGUAUUUUUCCAAAUAUGAACCCUAGGUUGAAUUAUUGCUAGCAUAAGCUUAAUCGAGCUACCGGGACUCCAAAAACGUAAAAAUCGUUAAAAAUGAGGCUAGAACGGACUUACAAUCGAGCUUGGAAGCUUGAAAAACCCUAGCCAUGGUUUCUCCUUGCUACAUUCGGCCAUGGGGUUGAAGAUGAGCAAAAUUGGCUUUUAAUUUUGUAUUUUAAUUCAUUUUACCCCUAAAUGACCAAAAUGCCCUUACUACUAAACUUUCCAAAAAUUCCAUCCAUGUUCAAUUUUUGUCCAUAGACUUAGAAAUUGGUAAAAUUUCUAUUUAAGACCUCCUAAUUAAUAUUUCAAAACAAUUUCAUACUAGAAACUUCUAGAAUGCAAGUUUUGCAAAUUAUUCGAUUUAGUCCCUAAUUUCAAUUUAAGCACUUUAUGCAUAAAAUUUCUUCACGAAAUUUUCACACAAUCAUGCAAUCAUAUCAUAGACCUCAAAAUAAUCAUAAAAUAAUUAUUUCUAUCUCGUAUUUUGUGGUCAUGAAACCACUAUUUCGACUAGGCCCAAAAUCAGGAUAUUACACUCAUAUUGACACCUUAGUGGAUAACACGGCAGGCUACUCACUCUUCUCCUUCAUGGAUGGUUUCUCGGGGUACAAUCAGAUCAAGAUGCAUCCUGAAGACAUGAAUAAAACCAAAUUUGUGACCAUGUGUGUGACAGCCCAAAAUUGACCCUAGUCGGGAAGUGGUUUCGGGACCGCUAAACCGAGUCACCGAAAUGUUUGAAUGUGAUCUUUAUUGUCUAGAAUAUGUAAUUAUGAAUGUGUGAAAAUUUCAAGCUUCGAUUUAGUCGAUUGCAUGUGAAUUUAGUCAAUAGGACUUAUGUGCGACAUUUUUGAAAUGUGAUAGGUUGAAGCAUAAGGACCCAUUAGUGCAUGAAAUAAAAAGGGGGGACUUGCAUGUCAAAUUCCCCCCCCCUAAUUAGUAGUGGCCGGCCAUGACAAGCAUGGUAGACCAAGUGUGAUGGGCAAGACAUGUCAUAGACAUGUUGUGUUGGUGCAUCAUGGGUGGAAAAAAAUAAAAUAAGGAGCAUGGGCAUAAAAUAAUGAAAGGGAAUAUGAUGAAAACAAAAAAAAAGUGUGUGGUUGUUCCCCCCCCCAUUGCCGUGAGUUAAAGAAAAGAAAAGAGAAAAUUUUGUUCAUCCUUUUUCAUCUUCAUUUGGCCGAAAAAUCUAAGGAAGGAGGAAGGAGUUCUUGCUUCAUGUUUGGUUUGGAAGAGGAUUAGGAGGAGGUUUGGCCAUACUUGUAUCUAGAUAUGUUUGAGGUUGUGCCAUGAGAUUCAUGCAUGUUUUUAGUUGCUAGCUUGAGUUCUAAUUAGCCCAUGGUUCAAAUCUUUGCUAUGUCAUGGGGAUGAUAUUCGGCCUAGGUAGAUUUUGUGUUAAUGCCAUUACAUUCUAAAUAUGAAGCUUGUUAAUGAUGCAUGUGAUGGUGGAUUGAUGAUUCUUGAAUCUUCUUUUUAGCAUUUUUGAGUGAGCACAUAUGUGCAUUGGUUGCUAGAUGGAGAAGAAUCGGCUAGCAAGUUGUGUGCUAAGGCCGAAUAUAAUUUUUGUAUAUUAAUGAGUAAUGCAUGUGUUAAAUUGAUGGAAAGGGAGAGGAUGCUUUACUAGUGUAUAUAUGUGUGUAUUAGCCAAGUUUUGAACUUGAAACAAAAGGGUGUUUAGUCAAUACAAGUGACCAUACUUGUAGAAUGCAUUAAGUGUUGAAAUCGGCCCCAACAUAGACAUGCAUAUUCGGCCAUAGGAAGGAGAUUGGUGUUGCAUGUAUUCGGUUAGAGGCAAGCAUAUUGAUGCUUUUGUCUUGGCUUAGAAAAUUCGGCCAAGGGGGAAAAUUAGCUAAAAUGUUGAGUUUGAUUCAUGAUUCCGUACAUAUGUGACUUUAAUGUCUAAUGUAUAAAUAUGGGCUAAGUGCCUUGUGUUCCUCUUUUCGAUGCUCAAAUGAUUAAAUCAAUUUAUUUGUUUAAUUAAGCUCAAGAGCAAAGGGGAACUAAAUCCGAUAAAGGGAAGGAAAAAGUGGUUGAAUAGCUAUCGGAAUCGUUCGACAACACCCGAGGUAAGUUCUUGAGUAAAAGAGCUUAAAUUAUGAUUUAAUUAGAUCAUGUUUUAAGCAAAUUAAAAUCAUGCUCUUUGUGUGGCUAUUGAGCCGAAAUUGCAAGAAUGAUAAAUGUCUUGUGUUUGAGUUUUGCUAACGAAAACGAAAUACGAAUGUGCCAUGAUUUAUUGUUAAAUGUGCAUGGUUAUUUGAAUGAUGUCCGGGCUAAGUCCCGAAGGCUUUGUGCUAAGUGACCAUAUCCGGACUAAGAUCCGAAGGCAUUUGUGCGAGAUACUAAUUCCGGGCUAAGCCCGAAGGCAUUUGCGCGAGUUACUAAAUCCGGGUUAAGUCCCGAAGGCAAUUGUACGAGUUACUAUAACCGGGCUAUGUCCCGAAGGCAUUUGAACGAGUAGCUAUAUCCGGUUAAAUUCCGAAGGUACGUGAUUUGGGAAUGAAUGAUCUUGCUGUAAAAAUUUCAGUAAAUACUCUAGAAACAUCCCAACAUUAAGGUAUGUUUCGUAUGUGCUUGAAUUUAGUUGAGCCCUUACAAAUAAGUAUUCGCUCAGUUGAUAAACGAGCUACCGGCCUUUGGCUAAGUUGAUCUUUUGGUAUGUACAUAAGGGUUGGUAAUGUGAAGCAAGUAUGAUAUCGAAAAUUUGUGCAUAUGAAAUUAUCCGUUUAGCUAUAUGAAUGCUAUACUUUUGUUGUGCUGGAAUUCCUUGCUCAAAACUUACUAAGCAUAAAUUGCUUACUCCGUUUCUUUGAUCCUCUAUUUUAUAGAUUUUGGUUCUCCAGCUAUCGGACUCGGGAUUUUGAAGUCGAAGUCGCCCACACUAUCAAAGCCCCCCCCUUUUGGUACAAUUUUGGUUGAACUUCGAAAUGGCAUGUAUAGGACUACCCGUUUGUUGUGGGUCAUGGACCCUUUGGACUUGUAUAAUUUUGGAUAGCCAUGCGAAAAUGGCUUAUAUAUGUUUGAGUAUAAUGUUAUAAUCAUUUGGUAGGGAUAUGGUUAUUGAGAGGUGUGGAUAUGCUUGACAUGGAUUGGCCAUGGGAAUGGUUAAUCACUAUCAUAAAUUGUGCUAUUUAUGCAAAAAGGGCUAGUUGAAUCAUGGAAACUAUGAAAUAGGUAAAGUCUACCUUAAAGGCAGAUGCUGACAGCAGCAGUGAUGUAGAUUUUGAAAAUCACUAAAAAUAGUAGAAAUGGAAUUAAAUAGUGAAUAAAUUAUGUAAACAAACCUUGAUGAAUCUAUUUUCAUAGGAAAGUAACGAAACAAUCAUACGGACAGUAUGUUAAGAGAUAUUCAGGUUCUUGUGAGACAGGGCCAGAACGGUUUCUGGAUUUCCUGUUCCGAAUUUGGAAAUUCAUUACAAAUUAACCAGAGACAAUUAGGAGUCAAGCCAUAUAUUUAUAGAUUCCUCUCUGAGUCUAGUUUCUAUAGAAACAAACGGCAUCAGUAUUGAAGCCCUGUACAGGGAGAUAUCAAAGUCGUAAUGUGCAAANNNNNNNNNNNNNNNNNNNNNNNNNNNNNNNNNNNNNNNNNNNNNNNNNNNNNNNNNNNNNNNNNNNNNNNNNNNNNNNNNNNNNNNNNNNNNNNNNNNNNNNNNNNNNNNNNNNNNNNNNNNNNNNNNNNNNNNNNNNNNNNNNNNNNNNNNNNNNNNNNNNNNNNNNNNNNNNNNNNNNNNNNNNNNNNNNNNNNNNNNNNNNNNNNNNNNNNNNNNNNNNNNNNNNNNNNNNNNNNNNNNNNNNNNNNNNNNNNNNNNNNNNNNNNNNNNNNNNNNNNNNNNNNNNNNNNNNNNNNNNNNNNNNNNNNNNNNNNNNNNNNNNNNNNNNNNNNNNNNNNNNNNNNNNNNNNNNNNNNNNNNNNNNNNNNNNNNNNNNNNNNNNNNNNNNNNNNNNNNNNNNNNNNNNNNNNNNNNNNNNNNNNNNNNNNNNNNNNNNNNNNNNNNNNNNNNNNNNNNNNNNNNNNNNNNNNNNNNNNNNNNNNNNNNNNNNNNNNNNNAUGAUCUCAUCAUUCAACAUUUCAUUCAUAUAUGUAUAUCCCAUAUUAAUCUCGUUGAGUUCUAGGAAACCUCGAUGGAAUACCCAAAAUCCGUCAAUUCAUACGAAUGAUAUUCCAUCUAUGCACUCCCGCGAACUCACAUCAUAUGGCAGGAUUACCAAUCCAAGCUAAAUCCCCUAUUAUAUGAACUCAUAAGGUGAUGUCGGGAUAAUCAGUCUAGGAUAAACCCCUUAUAACACAAACACCCUUAAUGAGCUCGGAUCUGAUUACCAAUCCAGGCUAAAUUCAGACCCUAAUCGGAUUACCCGUCCGGGCUGAAUCAAUCAUGCACAUCUUCUUCGGAGGUUUGAUCAUUCAAGGAACACCCGUCCGGGCUAGAUUCCUUUUUCAUACCUGAUAACUCAGAUUACCCGUUUCGGGCUAAAUCUUACUGCAACACAUGCAGGAUCUUAGUUUAGCUUUUCAAUGAGGGUUUAUCCAUCGAAUUCCCUUUGUCAACCUCAACAGAUAUUUUCACAUGUUAUCAUCAAUAUGCAUUUCUAUCAUAUUUCAUACCAAUAACAAUACAAUCUCAAGCAUUCAAUUCAUACAAUUAUGUAUAUCAAGGGUUUACUUUAAGUUAUCCGAACUUACCUAGUAUUCUUUCAGAGUUGUGUUUCGGUUAUUCCGAAGCCUUGCGUUUACCCACGAUUGACCUCCGAAAUUGUUCCUCGGGGGUCUAUAAUAGCAAAAUUAAUUCAUUAAUAUCUCAUAUUAUUAUUUCAAGUUUAAUACCUACCCUCGGUCCAAAAUCGAUUGCCCCUAACCUUUCACAUCUUACGAUUUAGUACCUAGGCUCGUAUAAUGAAACACAGCAAAAUCUUACCCAAGCCAAACCGAACUUUUUCUCUCUUAUGGCAGCCCACAUUUUCAUUAUUUCCUCAUUUCUACCACAUAUUUACAUCUUUUGCAAAUAGUCCCUAUAAGGGUUUCUUAUGAAAACCAACUUGGAAAAGAUGUUUAACAUACAUUUAUCUUUCAUAUUCUUCCAUAAUCCAUCAAAAUACCAAUAACUCAUGCAUGGGUAAAUUUUUCAACAUAAACCCUAGCAUGAAAUAUGGGUAGAAAUGGAGAGAGAAAACUACCGGGAUUUCAAAAAUACAAAGAACAUGAAAAACGGGGCUCGGAACACUUACUAUUGAGCUUGAAAAUUGAAGAAAACCUAGGUAUGGGUGUCCUCCAAAUUUCGGCAGCUAUGGGAAGACGAUGAGCAUAUUUUUGCUCCAUUUUUCUCUUUUUAUUUCAUUAAAAUACCUAAUGACCAAAAUGCCCUCAUGCCCUUUCUUUAAAAUUUCAUCCAUACAAGUCCACUUUUGUCCAAUUUUAGAACUUAGGAAAAUUGAUCUCCAGGACCUUCUAAUUCAUAAUCUAUAGCAAUUUCAUACAAAGUACUUCUAGAAUCCAAGUUUUACAAUUUAUUCAAUUUAGUCCCUAAUUUCCAAUUGGACAUCUUAUACUUAAAAUUUUCUUCAUGAAACUUUAACACAUGCAUAACCAUAUUCUAGGCCUAUAAUAAUCAUAAAAUAAAUAUUUUGAUGUCGGAUUUGUGGUCCUGAAAACCACUAUUCUGACUAGGCCCUAUUUCGGGAUUACAUUGUAUCUCUCUCAUGCAUCAUAGAGUGUCUCUAGAUCCAUCUGCAAAAAAGAAGAGAUAUCAUUCCUCAACUUAGUCAUUUUAGCCGAUGAAAAAUAUUUAAGUAAAAUUUUUUGGUCAUUUUGUUCCCAUGUAGUGAUUGACCCUCGUGGUAACGAGUUUAAACACUGUUUAACUUUGUUCCUCAACAAAAAGGGAAACAACCAAAGGCGAAUGGCAUCACCAAAAAACACCAUUGAUCUUAAAAGUGUCGCAAAACUCUAAGAAAAUCGCCAAAUGAGCGUUUGGGUCCUCGUCCUGCAAACCAUCAAACUGAACAAACUCUUGGAUCAUUUGAAUGUUUCAGUUCAAAAUUUAUUGCAGCAACAGCAGGCGUAACUAUACUUGACUCAGUUCCUAUUAAAGUAGGUUUAGCAUAAUCAUACAUAGUGCGUGGAGCAGGAUUCUGAUUUACAGGAUUAGCAGCAAUCGCAAGGUAGCAGAUUUUCUUGAUUUUCAGCCAUCUCCUCGGUCGUGGUGUGAAUGUCGUCCUCUUGCUCUUCCUCCGUGUAUCUUAGUCUGUGACUUAUUUCUCUUUAAUUUCUGCGAGCUGUUCGAUCAAGCUCACUAUCAAAAAGUAAUGGUCCUGACAGGUUUCUUCUAGUUAUGCACUAUAAAAACCUGCCACAAGCGAAUAAACAAAAAAUUAAAAAAAAUAAAAAUUUAAAUUGUAAUAAAAGUAGAAUGGGUUAAAGUAGAAAUUGAGUGUUCCUAAUAUCUUAGUUCCCCGGAAACGGUGCCAAAAACUUGAUCGUGUUAUGAAUCGUGAUAAGUUUUAUAAUUUAUGAAUGUCCGUUCUUGAAAACUAACUAUUGUCACGACAAAGGCAACCGCACCUUAUUGAACAGUAAUAUAGCUUAUGGCAAGACCGGGAUGUCGAACCCAAAGGAACUAAAAGUACUAGUAUUAACUUUCUUUUUAUUAUCUAACCUGAAAAUAAAGGGGUUUGGUUUAUCUAAUCAAUUACUAAACUAAGAAUGCACAGGAAGUAAAUUGGGGAAAUAACUUUUGGGAAAACUGAAUGAUUUGGACAAUACCUAAGGAAAAAAAUCCACCUAGACUUCACUUGUUAUUGACUCUGAAUUAGACGAUUUAUUUACUUGACUUGAUCUAUAGAAAUCCCUAAUUUAUAUUAUUAUCUCUCUCGAGACUAACAACAUCAACCCUAGGUUGAUUAAUUGAAAUCUCUUUCUAAUUAACUCCCUAGUGUUGCAUUAACUCGAUCUAUGGAUUCCUUUAUUAUGUUUCACCCUAAUCCGGCAAAUCUUGUCACCCUAUCUCUAGGCGUGCAAUUAACUCCGCUUAAUUAUGUUAUCUACUCUUAGAUAGGGACUUUUGCUCCUCUGAAUAAGCACAUACUUGAAUCAAUAUCCUGGAAUAUUAAAGCAAGAAUUAAGAACUCAUAAUUAAGAACAAGUCAAAUAUUUAUCAUACAAUUCAGAAUAAUAACAAGAUCCGUCUUAGGUUUCAUUCCCCUUAGGUAUUUAGGGGGUUUAGUUCAUAUUUAUGAAAGAAAACAUCUUAAAAGAAUAAUGAUAACAAAACAUAAAGAAAACCCAAGAACUCUUCAAGGGAAUUGAAGGGAGAUCUUCAGUCUUGAAGGUGAAUCCAGCUUCUGAGAUGGAUCAAUCAGCUUUCUUCGAGUAAUUCCUUGCCUUCUACUCCGUGUGUGUCCUCUCAAACUCUCUAGUGUGUUUAAAUAGGCUUUAGAAUGCCUUUAAAUAGGCUUUAGAAUGCCUAAAAGCCCUCAAGAGUGGCCUUUUUCGAAUAGGACUAAACUUGGGCUCGACAGGGACACGCCCGUGUGCAAUUUCUCCAAUCCGUGUUCAAGGCUGUUAAAUAGACAUGGGCGUGUGGUCUACCCGUGUGAGGAAGUCCAGGCCGUGUUGAUUUCCCACGUUGGCCCAUUUUCUCUGUUUACGGUCUGUUUCUCACUCUUUUUAUUCUCCUAUGCUCAUCUAAGUAUAAAACAUGGAACUAAAGGAUUAGGAGCACUGAAUUCACCAAAUCUAAGGAUAAAUCAUCCAAAAAAUUUGCUACGCAUGGGGUAAAAAUAUGUAUAAAUUAUGGUUUAUCAAUAGUACGUAGGGCGCAGUGAGCGUAGUCAAGUGGCUCGCGCCAAGCCUUCUACUCCAGGCAGCGUGCCUAAUCUGGAAAUUAACAAGUCUAUUAAGACACUCAAAUUUGAGGGUGUAAUCUAAGGUAUUCAUGUUACGUCUAGAGAUCCGUAAAGUGUCGUAAGGGUCUAAUUUGGAUCUGUGAGUCAAGAUUCAGUGACUGGGCGACUUCAGUCAAUCGAGAUCAAGAAUGUGGAUGGGAGAAACCACUUUGACAGCGAAGGAAAGGAAAGGAAUAAAGUACGUAAUAAGAGGAGUUCUGGUUCUGUUGAUUUGAAUUUGCAACCUAUGAAUGGCCCAGAACCGUUAGGCCUCAGCAAGUUGAGGCAGUUGUGAAUGUAUGUUAUGUUUCAAUUUGUGCUUUUUAUGAUAGACGUCAUCCAGGAAAUUGUUAUAGGAAAGCGGGGACAUAUUUUAGAUGUGUAUAUAUUGAGCAUCGUAUUAAGAUCUUUCAUGACAUUUCUCUAGUCGUAUGCAAGUUUCAGCUUAGAGAGAGAAUAGGAGACUGGUUUAUGCAACUAGGCAUUGAGAGGAUCGACACGCAUCUAGCAGCAAUCCAACUGCAUUUGGAUUUGUACCCAGCAUUGGUUAAGAUUCUGGUGGUACUUAAUGUUUCAUAGUCAUUAGAGUUCUAAGACUUUGGGAUUGUGGCAUUGUUAGUAGUUCUUUUGUAAAAAAAUUGUUAAGACAAUUCGAGAUUGUGAUUGGGAAGUGUGUUAGAAAUAUUGUUUGGAUCAGGUUUACAUUGAAAUCAGAGUUGCACAGUGAUAACGUGGUGAUUAGUAUGAAUGAGAAAAUUUUAGAGUUUUUGGUUAAGUAUAUGGUGUAAUAGCAGGAAUUUUAGAGUUGUCACAUCCAGAAAAUUGGGUUAGAAGGAAUUGGGUUAGAGAAACCAAGAGUUCAUGCUAUAAAUUUUGAGUUAAGAUUGUGAAAAUUAUGUAAAGUUAAGUAUCUACUUCAGUGGUUUAGUGCUUUAGGUGUGUGUGUUCGAGGCUAUAGGUUCAAAUCUCACUCUUGGAAUUUUUUUGGUAUUUUUGUCUUAACUUCUAUUCUUGAUCAUUUGGAAUAAGUAUAUUUUCACUCAACUAAAAUUAAAACUCUGUAAAUUUUUCACUGAAAAAUUAAGUAACUCUUAAAUAUUUUUUUAAAAAUAAUCAAAUAGUUUUAAUGUUUGUUUGCCUUCAAGCUAGAAAGGAUUUUGAAAAAAAUAAUUCCUUUCAAAACUUAGCUUUGCAUUCAAAUUUUGGGUUUGAAACAAGUGAUUUCGUACUUAAGUAUUUCUAUAUAUUUGUAAGAGUGUGUUGCCAAAUUUUACAUUUUUCAAAACGCGCCCUAAGUUUAACUGAGACAGAAGUUUUUAAACAAGUUGAUGUAAUUCCUCCAGAUUUGGCCAUAACAUUUAGGACAGGUUUGGCACGUUACAUGCCUGAACAAUCACACUUGUCUCUAGGUUGGGCAUGUUCCCCAAAGAGGAGUACUCAACUUGAGCCACUCGACUGCGCCCACCGCGUCGUCGUGUACCACAACCAUGUGUACCGCAGGUACUCAUUAUGCUAUCUACAACUCAGGAGUAGUUAUAAAUAUUUGCUUAGGAAUUUUUAAUCCUAAUUUUUUAGUUUAACAGAUACAUCACAGUCUUUAUCUAAAGCAGAUAAAUCUUUAUUCUAUAGCCCCUAAGGAUUUUAUCAGUUUGACUACAGUAACUAAAGCAGAAGUAUCUUACUUGGACCGGUAUCAGAGUCUCGGAUUAUCAUUUUUGAAGUCUUAGUUAUUACAUGUAGGUUUGCCCAUAUCAUAGUUACUAAUUUUUUUUAAAUUAAAAUUUUAAUAAUUAUGCAUGCAAUUUUUGUAACAACUCAAACCCAAUCCUUAAAGAAGACUCAGGAUUGGCGUGUCACUUCCUUGAAAUUUCUUUUAAACUAGCAACCAUCAUGAUCUUCAUAAAAAAUAAUUUAAAUAAAUAUGAUUUAUAAACACUUUGUGAAAUUAAGAUAAAUAGGGUUAUACAUUUUUAAGAAAAAUUAAAGAAAAAAAUAGACUCCAUCGAAAGCUCUUAAAACCAAGAUUGACAUAACCCAGUUUUAACUAUGGCAUCGUAUACAUAUAUAUAAUUAGACAAACAUUAAUUAUUCUAAGUAAAUGAUUCAAUAUUUUGCAAUAACAUAAUCACUUCACUAAGGUUUCAUUGAAAUAACAUGUAACAGCCUGAUUUUGGGCUUAGUCGGAACAGUGGUUUUGAGACCACUAAUCUAAGGUCAGAGAAAAUAUUUAUUAUUAUUUUAGAUUUAGAACAUGUUUAUAACUGUGUAUGAAAAAUUUGGUGAAGUAAUUUUAGCUUUUGUAAGCUUAAUCGCGAAAAAAGACUAAAUCGCGUGAAGUUCAAAAGUCUUGAAUUGAUAGCUAAGGAUGUUAAAUUGCCAUGAAACUUAGAUUGGGGGACUUUAAAGGGAAAAUAUACCCUUGUAUAGGUGAUGGUCGGCCAUAGGAGAUAAAUAUGGAGAAAGUCAAAAUUAGGUAGAAAUUUGGAAGCUUAUUUGACCAAAAUGAAAUAAAAUAAAGAAAAAGGGGUUUCAUCUUUUUCUCACCUUCUUCACCACCAAAAUUUACCAAAAAAAUAGGGUUUAAAAGCUUGAAAAAUUUCAGCUACUCUUUACCUUCACAAGUAAGUGAUUUUGAUAGUUUUUCUUGAUGAUUUUUGUGUUUUUGGACCCCUUGUAGCAUGAGCUUUCAAAAGAGGAGACUAUUUUGCAAAAUGGUCAAAUGUUUAGGAUCUUGUCAUGAUAGUAAACAUGUUUUUUUCUGAAAUUUUAUGGAGAAAUAUGAGUUAUUGUUGUAAAAUAAACAAGUUUUGUGAAGUAGUUUUCAUGGAAACCCUAACUAGGGACCAUUUUGCAUAAGUUGAGAAUUAGGUGAUAAAUGUGAGAAAUAAUAGAAAUUAUGGGUUGCUAUAAGAGUAAAAAGGGUUCGGUUAGGCUUAAGAUAUGAGGAAAUUUGAUAAAAAUUAAAUUUCAGACUUAGGGGUAAAAUGGUCAUUUUGUAAGAGUCUAGGGGGCAAAAUGGUCAUUUUUCCUAAUUUUAUAUUGUUGAGUAUCUAGGUUAAUAAAAUGAUCAAAUUUGUGAAUUUUUAUCAUUUUAGAUCAAGAUUUGCAAAAUUCGGGACUAGAUUGAGGAAAAACGAAGUAAGUGGAUUAAGUCGAGCUAAUCGAUAUUUUGUAAACCAAGGUAAGUUGUGUGUAAAUAAUACACCACGUUGUUAUUAUAUAUCUUGAAUUGACAUAGCAUGAAAUAUUUGAUGGUGGAAAUGAGAAUGCAUGAUGAUAAAUGAGUUAGUAGAAUUUAUGCUUGAACCAUUGAAAAUAAAUCGGAUAUUCGUUGUUGUGAGCUAGUGUAAGACAUGUCUGGGACAUGUAUCUGCCACAUUAUUAGAGCCAGUGUACGACCAUGUCUAGGACAUGGCAUCGGCAUUGAGACAAAAGCUAGUGUAAGACGUGUCUGGGACAUGCAUCGGCCUCAUAAGGUAAGCCAGUAUAAGACAUGUCACGGACAUGCAUCGGCUAUGAGAUGUGUCAGUGUAAGACCAUGUCUAGGACAUGGCAUCAGCACAGAUAUGCCAGAGCUAGUGUAAAACCAAGUCUGGGACAUGGUGUCGGUCUCGAUAACAAUAGUCAGUGUAAGACCAUGUCUAGGACAUGGCAUCGACUUGAGACAUGAGCCAGUGUAAGACCAUGUCUAGGACAUGACAUCGGCAUCAUACCCUAUGUUUGAGGUUUGGUGAAUAUUUGAUAGUAUUCCAAAUGGUUCAAUAGUGAGAGGUAUAGUUUAAGUUAAACGAGAAAGGUAUAACCAUGUUGUGAGUGGUACAAGUACCUAUUUGGAAUGUUGGAGAUAUGAGCUCAAUGAAUACUAUGUAAAUUGUAUUGGAUAGUGAUGAGUAAGUUGAAUUUAUGCUUUCUUUUGUAUUAUGAGCAUUUCGAUGAAUGGUAGAUUUGUUGUUAUAUUUAAUUGCAUGCAACUUACUAAGCGUAAUGCUUACUCCCUCUCCUUUCCAUUUUCUUAUAGUUCCACCUAAAUAGCUCGAGGAUCAUCGGACGUUGGAGGAAUCGAUCACACUAUCAACCGAAGCACUUGGUAUAGUUGGUUUUAUUAUUUGAAAUAUGGCAUGUAUAGGACUUAGACUUGAUGUUUGUGUCUUGAUAAUAGGGCCAAAUGUAUUGGCUUGGGAUGAGUCCCUUCAUUUUGUAUUAAGCCUUGGAAUAAUGGCUAGGGUUCAUGAUUUAUAUAUGCGAAUGAUUAUAUUUUAUGAAUGAGAUAAUGCUUGGUGUGGCUGAUAUUACCUUGUAUUUUUGAAUGGAUGUUGUUAUAUUGUGUUUCAGGGUGGCAAAGGGCUUCGAAGAUAGCCCUAUAUUGUCCACACGAGUAGACACACGGGCGUGUGUCUAGGCCGUGAGUGACACACGACCCAGCCCCAUGGGUGUGUUGUCUAGUUAAAUUCGCAAGUCAGCAUGCAUGGUAGUAAACACACGGACAGAGACACGGCCGUAUGUCUCAGCCGUAUGGAGGACACGACCUCUGGCCACGAGCGUAUGCCCCGGCAGUGUACCUUAAAUUGGAUGCUGACGUUAAAAACAAAAUGUCAAGGUUUUUAGACAUGGGAUAGGACACGGGCAUGUCAUGGCUGUAUGAGGGACACGGACCAUAGACAUGGGCGUGUGUCAAGCCAUGUGAACACCCCAGUAGGUUCAAAUUUAGAAUUAAAUUCACACGUGUAUGGGACAUGGGCGUGUCCUGAGAUGCUCAGGCCGUGUGUGUCACACAGGCCAUCAGCACAGCCAUGUCUUAGUGAUCACAAUGGCGUGUUGUCUUUCCACACGGGCGUGUGCCCUGUUUCAAGGGCAAUUUUUUUCUAAAGUUGGCUAUUACCUGUGCCAAUCCUGAAUGAUUUUCCAAUGGUCGUUGAAGGCCUCGUAGGCCCAUAUUAAGAAAUUUAGACAUGGUUUGAAAAAGUUUUAAAUUUGGUCACGCCUUGAUGAUUCGAGAACGUUGGAAUACAUGUGUUUAAGUGUGGUAAUGCCUCGCAUCUCGUCUUGGCGUAGGAUUUAGGGUGUAGGGUGUUACAUUUAAUGGUAUCAGAGCUAUAGUUUAGUCGGUUCUAAGACUAACCUAGCAUGAGUACGAGUCUAGCUAUACAUUCUAUAGUUGGAUAUCGAUAGUGUGACAACUCCUGACGAUUAUAAAUUACAUUUUUCAUAUAGUAAAUGGAUCCUGACGUAGCUAGGCAGAUGAUGGAAAGUAAUGCACCGGCUCUCGCUGAAGGAACUGCGCCAAUUAAUAUUGGGGCCGUGACAAUGAAUCAAGGUGGAGGGACUAGAGAAGCUUACCUCCACAUGAUGGAUGCCUGGUACUUGGAGUUUAUUCGUUUGAAUCUGAAUACUCCACCUCCCCUACCUCCUCCAAUUCCUCAACCCGUCUAUAUAGCUCCUCAAGGAGCAGAGAUGGCUAGGAGAGAGAAACCUCCAGUGGAUAGAAUUAGAAAGCAAGGGUUCGAGGAAUUCUGGGUGAAUAUUGAUGAUGACCCAAAGAAAGCAGAGUUUUGGCUAGAAAAUACCAUUAGGGUAUUUGAUAAGUUAUAAUGCACACCCGAAGAGUGCAUGAAGUGUGUGUGUUACUCCUGCGAGAUGCAGCUCACCAAUGGUAGAACACCUUUGUGUCGGUUGUACCAAGGGAAAGGAUUACAUGGGAGCUUUUGUAAGAGGAAUUCCGAAAGAAGUAUAUCAGUCAAAGGUUUAGAUCAGAAGAAAAAGAAGAAAUUUCUAGAAUUGAAAAAGGUCGAAAGACAGUAAUAGAGUAUAAGCGUGAGUUCGUGAGGCUCAGCAAAUACGCUAGAGAGUGCAUGGCUACCGAAGCCAUCAUGUGCAACAGAUUUGAGGAUGGAUUGACCGAAGACAUCCGGUUGUUAGUUGGCAUCUUAGAAUUGAGGGGAUUCAUGGUGCUCGUGGAGAGAGCAUGUAAGGCCGAGGAAUUGGCCAAAGAGAAUAGAAAAGCUGAUAUUGAGUCUCGAGACUCAAGGAAAAGAUAGAUGGGGAAAUCACAUCAAACCUCAUCCAAUAGAUUGAGGGAGUUCACCACUCGAUCAAAUGCUUUGGUGGGAUUCUCAAAUAAGAGUAAGAACAAGCAGAAUACGGCUUCUAAAUCCCAGACCACUUCUAUCACGAGUGUCGGUAGUGCUCGGCCAAAUAUGCCGGAGUGUUCACAGUGUGGUAGGCGUCACUUUGGCGAGUUAAGGGAAUGAGAAAGGCUGUUUUAAAUAUGGGUCAUUGGACCAUGUUAUUCUCAACUAUCUCGAGUUGGAUAAGAAAGAGAAAAAGUAAGAUGUAAGGGCGAAUAGUGCUCCUUCGAGGGGUAAACCACAAAAGAACCCUGGCAGUGGGGCUAGCGAUAGAGGUGCUCCUAGAGAUUCAGCUGUUAGGUCCGAGGGCCGUGCGCCUACAAGGACUUAUGCCAUUCGUGCUCGCGAAGAGGCAUCUUCACCAUAUGUGAUUACAGGUAUUUUUCUCUUCAUGAUAUUUUUGUUAUUGCUUUAAUUGACCCGGGGUCUACCCAUUCUUAUGUCUGCAUGAAAUUUGUACCUAGUAUGAAUAUGCUAAUUGAACCUACUAAAUUUGUGGUUAAAGUGUCUAACCCAUUAGGAAAACAUGUGUUGGUAGACCAAGUAUGUAGAAACUGUCCCCUGACAAUUAGAGGUCAUUGUUUUCCAGCUAACCUUAUGUUGUUGCCGUUUGAUGAAUUCGAUUUAAUCCUCGGUAUGGACUGGUUGACUUCUCAUGGGGUUGUAUUGGAUUAUGGACGAAAAGUCAUGGAGUUGAAUAUGAAAAACGGGGAUGUCCUCUGGGUCGAACAGAGUGAAUCAGAUAACUUGCCUGAAGUAAUAUCGUCUAUGACCGCAGAGAGAUAUUUAAGAAAAGGAUAUGAGUCCUACCUUGCAUUUGUGUUAAAUACUCAGGCAUCGGAAGUGAAAAUUGAGUCAGUGUCUGUGGUAUGUGAAUACCUGGAUGUGUUUCCAGAAGAGUUACCCGGAUUGCCUUUAGCUAGGGAAGUUGAGUUUGGUAUUGAGUUGGUCCCUGGUAUGGCACCCAUCUCUAUCACUGCGUAUAGGGUGGCUCCUACAGAGUUAAAAGAGUUGAAUGCUCAAUUACAAGAGUCAACGGAUAAGGGUUUUGCAAGACCAAGUUUUUCACCGUGGGUGGUGCUCAGGUACUUUUUGUGAAAAAGAAAGAUGGGUCGAUGAGAUUGUGCAUAGACUACCGACAACUCAACAAAGUAACCAUGAAGAACAAGUAUCCCUUACCAAGGAUCGAUGAUCUGUUCGAUCAGUUUAAGGGAGCCACCGUGUUUUCCAAGAUCGACUUAAGGUCAGGCUACUAUCAGUUAAGGGUUAUGGAGCAAGAUGUACCAAAAAUCGCGUUUAGGACGAGGUAUGGGCACUAUGAGUUUCUUGUUAUGUCCUUCUGUUUAACAAAUGCUCCUGCGAUGUUUAUGGAUUUAAUGAACUGCAUUUUCCAGCUGUUUGGAUACGUUCAUGGUGAUCUUUAUCGAUGACAUAUUGAUUUACUCAAGUAAUGAGAGUGAGCAUGCGGAGCAUCUAAGAACUGUUUUACAAACAUUGAGAGAUAAGCAAUUAUAUGCCAAGUUCAGUAAGAGUGAAUUUUGGCUUAAAAAGGUUGGAUUCCUAGGAUACAUCAUGUCGGGAGAUGGGAUCAGAGUUAACCCAAGAAAGAGCUCGACUAUUGUUGAGUGGAAACCGCCGAGGAAUGUGACAGAGGUUCAAAGCUUUCUGGGUUUGGCUGGAUACUACAGAAGAUUUGUGAAGGGAUUCUCUAUGAUAGCCACUCCAAUGAAAAGGUUGUUAAUGUGACAGCCUAAAAUUGACCCUCGGGAAGUGGUUUCGGGACCGCUAAACCGAGUCACCGAAAUGUUUUGAAUGUGAUCUUUAUUGUCUAGAAUAUGUAAUUAUGAAUGUGUGAAAAUUUCAAGCUUCGAUUUAGUCGAUUGCAUGUGAAUUUAGUCAAUAGGACUUAUGUGCGACAUUUUUGAAAUGUGAUAGGUUGAAGCAUAAGGACCCAUUAGUGCAUGAAAUAAAAAGGGGGGACUUGCAUGUCAAAUUCCCCCCCCUAAUUAGUAGUGGCCGGCCAUGACAAGCAUGGUAGACCAAGUGUGAUGGGCAAGACAUGUCAUAGACAUGUUGUGUUGGUGCAUCAUGGGUGGAAAAAAAUAAAAUAAGGAGCAUGGGCAUAAAAUAAUGAAAGGGAAUAUGAUGAAAACAAAAAAAAAGUGUGUGGUUGUUCCCCCCCCCAUUGCCGUGAGUUAAAGAAAAGAAAAGAGAAAAUUUUGUUCAUCCUUUUUCAUCUUCAUUUGGCCGAAAAAUCUAAGGAAGGAGGAAGGAGUUCUUGCUUCAUGUUUGGUUUGGAAGAGGAUUAGGAGGAGGUUUGGCCAUACUUGUAUCUAGAUAUGUUUGAGGUUGUGCCAUGAGAUUCAUGCAUGUUUUUAGUUGCUAGCUUGAGUUCUAAUUAGCCCAUGGUUCAAAUCUUUGCUAUGUCAUGGGGAUGAUAUUCGGCCUAGGUAGAUUUUGUGUUAAUGCCAUUACAUUCUAAAUAUGAAGCUUGUUAAUGAUGCAUGUGAUGGUGGAUUGAUGAUUCUUGAAUCUUCUUUUUAGCAUUUUUGAGUGAGCACAUAUGUGCAUUGGUUGCUAGAUGGAGAAGAAUCGGCUAGCAAGUUGUGUGCUAAGGCCGAAUAUAAUUUUUGUAUAUUAAUGAGUAAUGCAUGUGUUAAAUUGAUGGAAAGGGAGAGGAUGCUUUACUAGUGUAUAUAUGUGUGUAUUAGCCAAGUUUUGAACUUGAAACAAAAGGGUGUUUAGUCAAUACAAGUGACCAUACUUGUAGAAUGCAUUAAGUGUUGAAAUCGGCCCCAACAUAGACAUGCAUAUUCGGCCAUAGGAAGGAGAUUGGUGUUGCAUGUAUUCGGUUAGAGGCAAGCAUAUUGAUGCUUUUGUCUUGGCUUAGAAAAUUCGGCCAAGGGGGAAAAUUAGCUAAAAUGUUGAGUUUGAUUCAUGAUUCCGUACAUAUGUGACUUUAAUGUCUAAUGUAUAAAUAUGGGCUAAGUGCCUUGUGUUCCUCUUUUCGAUGCUCAAAUGAUUAAAUCAAUUUAUUUGUUUAAUUAAGCUCAAGAGCAAAGGGGAACUAAAUCCGAUAAAGGGAAGGAAAAAGUGGUUGAAUAGCUAUCGGAAUCGUUCGACAACACCCGAGGUAAGUUCUUGAGUAAAAGAGCUUAAAUUAUGAUUUAAUUAGAUCAUGUUUUAAGCAAAUUAAAAUCAUGCUCUUUGUGUGGCUAUUGAGCCGAAAUUGCAAGAAUGAUAAAUGUCUUGUGUUUGAGUUUUGCUAACGAAAACGAAAUACGAAUGUGCCAUGAUUUAUUGUUAAAUGUGCAUGGUUAUUUGAAUGAUGUCCGGGCUAAGUCCCGAAGGCUUUGUGCUAAGUGACCAUAUCCGGACUAAGAUCCGAAGGCAUUUGUGCGAGAUACUAAUUCCGGGCUAAGCCCGAAGGCAUUUGCGCGAGUUACUAAAUCCGGGUUAAGUCCCGAAGGCAAUUGUACGAGUUACUAUAACCGGGCUAUGUCCCGAAGGCAUUUGAACGAGUAGCUAUAUCCGGUUAAAUUCCGAAGGUACGUGAUUUGGGAAUGAAUGAUCUUGCUGUAAAAAUUUCAGUAAAUACUCUAGAAACAUCCCAACAUUAAGGUAUGUUUCGUAUGUGCUUGAAUUUAGUUGAGCCCUUACAAAUAAGUAUUCGCUCAGUUGAUAAACGAGCUACCGGCCUUUGGCUAAGUUGAUCUUUUGGUAUGUACAUAAGGGUUGGUAAUGUGAAGCAAGUAUGAUAUCGAAAAUUUGUGCAUAUGAAAUUAUCCGUUUAGCUAUAUGAAUGCUAUACUUUUGUUGUGCUGGAAUUCCUUGCUCAAAACUUACUAAGCAUAAAUUGCUUACUCCGUUUCUUUGAUCCUCUAUUUUAUAGAUUUUGGUUCUCCAGCUAUCGGACUCGGGAUUUUGAAGUCGAAGUCGCCCACACUAUCAAAGCCCCCCCCUUUUGGUACAAUUUUGGUUGAACUUCGAAAUGGCAUGUAUAGGACUACCCGUUUGUUGUGGGUCAUGGACCCUUUGGACUUGUAUAAUUUUGGAUAGCCAUGCGAAAAUGGCUUAUAUAUGUUUGAGUAUAAUGUUAUAAUCAUUUGGUAGGGAUAUGGUUAUUGAGAGGUGUGGAUAUGCUUGACAUGGAUUGGCCAUGGGAAUGGUUAAUCACUAUCAUAAAUUGUGCUAUUUAUGCAAAAAGGGCUAGUUGAAUCAUGGAAACUAUGAAAUAGGUAAAGUCUACCUUAAAGGCAGAUGCUGACAGCAGCAGUGAUGUAGAUUUUGAAAAUCACUAAAAAUAGUAGAAAUGGAAUUAAAUAGUGAAUAAAUUAUGUAAACAAACCUUGAUGAAUCUAUUUUCAUAGGAAAGUAACGAAACAAUCAUACGGACAGUAUGUUAAGAGAUAUUCAGGUUCUUGUGAGACAGGGCCAGAACGGUUUCUGGAUUUCCUGUUCCGAAUUUGGAAAUUCAUUACAAAUUAACCAGAGACAAUUAGGAGUCAAGCCAUAUAUUUAUAGAUUCCUCUCUGAGUCUAGUUUCUAUAGAAACAAACGGCAUCAGUAUUGAAGCCCUGUACAGGGAGAUAUCAAAGUCGUAAUGUGCAAAGGUCAGUGUAGUCGAUCCCUGUAACAUGGGAGACUUUGACUAAUAAACUGUACUAAUUGGCCCAACCAAAAAUUCUAGAAAAAAAUAUGUAGAUGACCAUAUGAGUCUAGUUUCAGGGAAAAUUUACGGAACUGGAUUCCGAGUUUCUGAACUCAAGAUAUGAUUUUUAAACCGACUAGUACGCAGAUUGGCAGUGUCUGGGAAAUUUUUUUUAAAGUCUGUUAACACCUCGUGUUCGACUCCGGUGACGGUCUCGGGUUUGGGGUGUUACAUUUGAUUGGUAUCAGAGCUACGGUUUAGUCGAUUCUAGGACUACCGUAAUGCGUUGGGUCUAGCUAUACAUGCCAUUUUAUGUGAUUAUUUGAUAGUGUGGUGAUUUCUGACAUUUGCAAAUGUGUUUAUUUAUAGUAAUGGAUCCCGACCCCGACCGAGCGGUAGCUGAUGAUCUUGAGAGUGUAGCGCCUGGUCCCGCACAAGGGACAGCGCCGGCGGACUCUCAACCUAAUGCUAGUAACCCGAAUGAUGAAGCUAGACAAGCUUUCUAUAGCGUGAUGAAUGAUUGGUUCAACCAAUACAUUCGAACUAAUACGGCUGUUCCACAACCUCCAUUCCCGGCAAAUACCACCCCCGCACCUACAAUACCUCCGGAAACUGACCAAAUAAGGUCAAAUAAGCCCCCAGUUGACAGAAUUUGAAAACAUGGGGCUACUGAAUUUAAAGCUACGGACAGCGAUGAUGCCGAGCAAGCUGAAUUUUGGUUGGACAACACUAUCCGGGUACUCGAUGAGCUAUCUUGUACACCCGAUGAAUGCCUAAAGUGUACUAUCUCCUUGUUACGCGAUUCUGCCUACUAUUGGUGGAAUACUCUGACUUCUGUUGUGCCCCGAGAGCAAGUAACUUGGGAGUUUUUCCAAACUGAGUUUCGGAAAAAGUAUAUCAGUCAGAGAUUUGUUGAUCAAAAACGGAAGGAAUUUCUUGAGCUUAAGCAAGGUUCUAUGUCGGUUACUGAUUACGAGCGAAAAUUUGUUAGACUUAGUAGAUACGCUAGGGAAUGUGUUUCGUCCGAGGCUAUCAUGUGUAAACGCUUCGAGGAUGGGCUGAAUGAAGAUAUAAAAAUGUUCGUGGGCAUACUUGAAAUACAAGAGUUCGUAGUACUUGUCGAGCGAGCUUGUAAAGCCGAAGAGCUUAGAAAAGAAAAACAAAAAGUUGAUGUGGGAACUGGAGAGUUUCGUAAAAGAUCUUCGGGAAAGUCUCUUCAACAGGCAUCGAAGAAAUUUCGAGAUGAUGUGGGCUGGUCGAGAGGCACUUCGGGCCUUUUUAGACGAAAUCGUGAUCGACCCCCUGUGGGUACACGAGGCACUUCAGUCGCCAGUGUUGGGAAUGAACGUCGAGACAGAACGAAAUGUCGAUAUUGCGGUAAAUGGCAUUCGGGGAGUUGUAGAUUCCCUGACCGCUCCUGUUACAAGUGCGGAUCAGUUGACCACUUCAUUAAAGAUUGCCCGAGGUUGUCUGAACAGAAUGUAAAUCAGAGUGGGAAACCGGGUGCUACCACUGCUCGAGGUAGACCAUCUGGAAAUACGGGCAAUGCUGGUGGUGGUCAGAGAGGAUCUAGAGAUGCUACGACCAGAUCCAAGGCUCGUGCGCCUGCUAGAGCUUAUGCUAUACGUGCCCGCGAGGAUGUUUCUUCGCCUGAUGUUAUUACCGGUACUUUUACUCUCUUUGAUACUAAUGUAAUUGCUUUGAUUGACCCCAGUUCUACUCAUUCUUACAUAUGUGAAACCUUAGCAUCCAGUAAGACUUUACCUAUUGAGUCUACUGAGUUCGUAAUUCGGGUGUCAAAUCCCUUGGGUCGUUACGUGCUUGUCGACAAAGUGUGUAAGAAAUUGUCCCCUAGUAAUUCGAGGUUCCUGUUUUCCGGCGGACUUGAUGCUUUUGCCGUUUAAUGAAUUUGAUGUUAUUCUCGGGUUGGAUUGGUUGACCGUGCAUGAUGCGGUUGUGAAUUGCAAAAGCAAGACUAUUGAAUUGAGGUGCGCAAAUAACGAAGUAAUCCGAGUUGAGUCUACGGACUUGGAUGGGUUGCCAGCUGUAAUAUCCUCAAUGUUGGCCCAGAAAUAUGUAAGAAAAGGGAGCGAAGCAUACCUUGCGUAUGUACUUGAUGACAAAGAAUUAGAAAAGAAACCCGAAUCUGUGCCGGUGGUUUGUGAAUACCCAGAUGUUUUUCCUGAAGAAUUACUGGGUUUACCACAUGUUCGGGAGAUAGAGUUUGGUAUUGAGCUUGUACCUGGGACUACGCCGAUUUCGAUGGCUCCGUAUCGUAUGGCACCAACCGAGUUAAAAGAGUUGAAAGCUCAGUUGCAAGAAUUGACGGAUAGAGGUUUUGCUCGACCAAGUUUCUCACCUUGGGGUGCACUAGUAUUGUUCGUGAAAAAGAAGGACGGAACCAUGAGGUUAUGCAUUGACUAUCGUCAACUAAAUAAAGUGACGAUAAAGAACAAAUAUCCAUUACCGCGUAUCGAUGAUUUGUUCGACCAACUGAAGGGAGCCUCAGUGUUCUCAAAAAUAGAUUUGAGAUCGGGCUAUUAUCAGUUGCGAAUUCGAGAUUCGGACAUACCCAAAACUGCCUUCAGAACGAGAUAUGGUCACUACGAAUUCUUAGUGAUGCCGUUUGGGCUCACUAAUGCCCCUGCGGUAUUUAUGGAUUUGAUGAAUCGGAUCUUCGGACCAUAUUUGGAUCGGUUCGUAGUUGUGUUCAUUGAUGACAUCUUGGUCUAUUCAAGAGAUGAGACCGAACAUGCUGAGCACCUGAGACUAGUGUUGCAAAUUUUGCGGGAUAAGCAGUUAUAUGCUAAGUUCAGUAAGUGUGAGUUCUGGUUAAGAGAGGUUAGCUUCUUGGGUCACGUGGUAUCCGCAUCGGGUAUUCGAGUUGACGCGAACAAAAUUUCAGCCAUACUUAACUGGAAACCUCCAAGAAAUAUUACCGAAGUUCGGAGCUUCCUGGGGCUCGCCGGUUAUUACCGACAAUUUGUAAAAGGUUUCUCGACGAUAGCCACACCAAUGACGAAGCUACUUCAAAAGGAUGUUAAGUUCGAAUGGAUGGAGAAAUGUCAGAAAGGUUUCAAUCAACUGAAAACUUAUUUGACUGAAGCUCCAAUUUUAGUGCAACUCGAAUCAGGCAAAGAGUUUGUCAUUUAUAGUGACGCAUCCCUACUUGGGUUGGGUUGCGUAUUGAUGCAAGAAGGUCGAGUGGUGGCCUAUGCGUCGAGACAAUUAAAGCCACAUGAGAAAAAUUAUCCGACCCAUGACCUUGAACUAGCUGCCAUCGUAUUUGCUUUAAAAAUAUGGCGACAUUACUUAUUUGGUGAAAAGUGCCAUGUAUUUUCGGAUCACAAAAGUCUCAAAUAUUUGAUGACUCAAAGAGACUUAAAUCUGCGACAAAGACGUUGGCUUGAGUUGUUGAAAGAUUACGAGCUUGUCAUUGAUUACCACCCGGGAAAGGCUAAUGUGGUUGCGGACGCCUUAAGCCGGAAAUCAUUGUUUGCUUUACGAGCGAUGAAUGUGCACUUGUCUGUUCUACCCGACAAUGUGUUAGUAGCUGAAUUAAAAGCCAAACCAUUAUUGAUUCAUCAAAUUCGUGAAGCCUAGAAAGUUGAUGAUGAAUUGGUUGCAAAACGGGCUGAGUGUGUUCCGAACAAGGAAUCGGAGUUUCAAAUUGAUAAUGAUGAUUGUUUGAGGUUCAGAAGUCGUUUGUGUGUUCCAAGGAAUUCGGAACUCAUUUCGAUGAUUCUGAACGAAGCCCAUUGUAGCCGAAUGUCAAUUCACCCGGGGAGUACGAAAAUGUACAACGAUUUGAAACGUUGGUUUUGGUGGCAUGGUAUGAAACGAGACAUCUCCAACUUUGUUUCAAGAUGUUUAAUAUGUCAACAAGUGAAAGCGGAACAUCAAGUGCCUUCAGGAUUACUUCAGCCGAUCAUGAUACCCGAGUAGAAAUGGGAUCGAGUCACAAUGGACUUUGUGUCCGGACUGCCAUUGUCAGCAAGUAAGAAAGAUGCGAUUUGGGUUGUUGUCGAUAGACUGACUAAGUCGGCUCACUUUAUCCCCGUGCGUACGGAUUUUUCAUUGGAUAAACUAGCCGAAUUGUAUGUUUCUCAGAUUGUGAGAUUACACGGGGUACCUAUUUCUAUCGUGUCGGAUAGAGAUCCGAGAUUCACCUCGCGAUUUUGGAGGAAAUUGCAAGAAGCUUUGGGUACCAAGCUGCAUUUUAGCACUGCUUUUCACCCCCAAACCGAUGGUCAAUCUGAGCGGAUAAUUCAGAUACUUGAGGAUAUGUUGAGAUGUUGCAUCCUCGAGUUCAGUAGUUCAUGGGAACGGUAUUUACCUUUGAUUAAAUUCGCUUACAACAAUAGUUUUCAAUCAAGUAUUAAGAUGGCACCUUACGAGGCUUUGUACGGUCGUAAAUGCCGUACACCAUUGUUUUGGACCGAGCUCGGUGAAAGUAAAAUUUUCGGAGUUGAUUUGAUUAAGGAUGCCGAACAGAAAGUAAAGGUAAUCCGUGAAAGUCUGGAAGCAGCCACAGAUCAUCAAAAAUCGUAUGCGGAUUUGAAACGAAAAGACAUUGAAUAUCAGGUGGGAGAUAAAGUGUUUCUUAAAGUUUCGCCUUGGAAAAAGGUACUCAGAUUUGGCCGUAAGGGCAAGUUGAGCCCGAGAUUCAUUGGGCCGUACGAAAUCUCCGAACGAGUUGGUCCGGUUGUUUGAUUUUGCCCCCUGAACUUGAAAAGAUUCACGAUGUCUUUCAUGUUUCGAUGCUUCGACGUUAUAGAUCCGAUCCGUCACAUGUGAUUAAUCCCUCAGAAGUUGAAAUUCAAUCUGACUUGAGUUAUGAAGAAGAACCGAUUCAUAUCCUAGCUCGUGAAGUAAAAGAGUUGCGAAACAAAAGGGUUCCGUUAGUUAAGGUGUUAUGACUCAAACACGGGAUCGAGAAAGCUACUUGAGAAACCGAGAGCUCGAUGAAAGAACGAUACCCAAACCUAUUUACCGGUAAGAUUUUCGGGGACGAAAAUUUCUUAAGUGGGGGAGAGCUGUGACAGCCCAAAAUUGACCCUAGUCGGGAAGUGGUUUCGGAACCGCUAAACCGAGUCACCGAAAUGUUUGAAUGUGAUAUUUAUUGUCUAGAAUAUGUAAUUAUGAAUGUCUGAAAAUUUCAAGCUUCGAUUUAGUCGAUUGCAUGUGAAUUUAGUCAAUAGGACUUAUGUGCGACAUUUUUGAAAUGUGAUAGGUCGAAGCAUAAGGACCCAUUAGUGCAUGAAAUAAAAAGGGGGAACUUGCAUGUCAAAUUCCCCCCCCUAAUUAGUAGUGGCCGGCCAUGACAAGCAUGGUAGACUAAGUGUGAUGGGCAAGACAUGUCAUAGACAUGUUGUGUUGGUGCAUCAUGUGUGGAAAAAAUAAAAUAAGGAGCAUGGGCAUAAAAUAAUGAAAGGGAAUAUGAUGAAAACAAAAAAAAAGUGUGUGGUUGUUCCCCCCCCCCCCAUUGCCGUGAGUUAAAGAAAAGAAAAGAGAAAAUUUUGUUCAUCCUUUUUCAUCUUCAUUUGGCCGAAAAUCUAAGGAAGGAGGAAGGAGUUCUUGCUUCAUGUUUGGUUUGGAAGAGGAUUAGGAGGAGGUUUGGCCAUACUUGUAUCUAGAUCAAGGUAUGUUUGAGGUUGUGCCAUGAGAUUCAUGCAUGUUUUUAGUUGCUAGCUUGAGUUCUAAUUAGCCCAUGGUUCAAAUCUUUGCUAUGUCAUGGGGAUGAUAUUCGGCCUAGGUAGAUUUUGUGUUAAUGCCAUUGCAUGCUAAAUAUGAAGCUUGUUAAUGAUGCAUGUGAUGGUGGAUUGAUGAUUCUUGAAUCUUCUUUUUAGCAUUUUUGAGUGAGCACAUAUGUGCAUUGGUUGCUAGAUGGAGAAGAAUCGGCUAGCAAGUUGUGUGCUAAGGCCGAAUAUAAUUUUUGUAUAUUAAUGAGUAAUGCAUGUGUUAAAUUGAUGGAAAGGGAGAGGAUGCUUUACUAGUGUAUAUAUGUGUGUAUUAGCCAAGUUUUGAACUUGAAACAAAAGGGUGUUUAGUCAAUACAAGUGACCAUACUUGUAGAAUGCAUUAAGUGUUGAAAUCGGCCCCAACAUAGACAUGCAUAUUCGGCCAUAGGAAGGAGAUUGGUGUUGCAUGUAUUCGGUUAGAGGCAAGCAUAUUGAUGCUUUUGUCUUGGCUUAGAAAAUUCGGCCCAGGGGGAAAAUUAGCUAAAAUGUUGAGUUUGAUUCAUGAUUCCGUACAUAUGUGACUUUAAUGUCUAAUGUAUAAAUAUGGGCUAAGUGCCUUGUGUUCCUCUUUUCGAUGCUCAAAUGAUUAAAUCAAUUUAUUUGUUUAAUUAAGCUCAAGAGCAAAGGGGAACUAAAUCCGAUAAAGGGAAGGAAAAAGUGGUCGAAUAGCUAUCGGAAUCGUUCGGCAACACCCGAGGUAAGUUCUUGAGUAAAAGAGCUUAAAUUAUGAUUUGAUUAGAUCAUGUUUUAAGCAAAUUAAAAUCAUGCUCUUUGUGUGGCUAUUGAGCCGAAAUUGCAAGAAUGAUAAAUGUCUUGUGUUUGAGUUUUGCUAACAAAAACGAAAUACGAAUGUGCCAUGAUUUAUUGUUAAAUGUGCAUGGUUAUUUGAAUGAUGUCCGGGCUAAGUCCCGAAGGCUUUGUGCUAAGUGACCAUAUCUGGACUAAGAUCCGAAGGCAUUUGUGCGAGAUACUAAUUCCGGGCUAAGCCCGAAGGCAUUUGCGCGAGUUACUAAAUCCGGGUUAAGUCCCGAAGGCAAUUGUGCGAGUUACUAUAACCGGGCUAUGUCCCGAAGGCAUUUGAACGAGUAGCUAUAUCCGGUUAAAUUCCGAAGGUACGUUAUUUGGGAAUGAAUGAUCUUGCUGUAAAAAUUUCAGUAAAUACUCUAGAAACAUCCCAACAUUGAGGUAUGUUUGGUAUGUGCUUGAAUUUAGUUGAGCCCUUACAAAUAAGUAUUCGCUCAGUUGAUAAACGAGCUACCGGCCUUUGGCUAAGUUGAUCUUUUGUGUAUGUACAUAAGGGUUGGUAAUGUGAAGCAAGUAUGAUAUCGAAAAUUUGUGCAUAUGAAAUUAUCCGUUUAGCUAUAUGAAUGCUAUACUUUUGUUGUGCUGGAAUUCCUUGCUCAAAACUUACUAAGCAUAAAUUGCUUACUCCGUUUCUUUGAUCCUCUCUUUUAUAGAUUUUGGUUCUCCAGCUAUCGGACUCGGGAUUUUGAAGUCGAAGUCGCCCACACUAUCAAAGCCCCCCCUUUUGGUACAAUUUUGGUUGAACUUCGAAAUGGCAUGUAUAGGACUACCCGUUUGUUGUGGGUCAUGGACCCUUUGGACUUGUAUAAUUUUGGAUAGCCAUGCGAAAAUGGCUUAUAUAUGUUUGAGUAUAAUGUUAUAAUCAUUUGGUAGGGAUAUGGUUAUUGAGAGGUGUGGAUAUGCUUGACAUGGAUUGGCCAUGGGAAUGGUUAAUCACUAUCAUAAAUUGUGCUAUUUAUGCAAAAAGGGCUAGUUGAAUCAUGGAAACUAUGAAAUAGGUAAAGUCUACCUUAAAGGCAGAUGCUGACAGCAGCAGUGAUGUAGAUUUGGAAAAUCACUAAAAAUAGUAGGAAUGGAAUUAAAUAGUGAAUAAAUUAUGUAAACCAACCUUGAUGAAUCUAUUUUCAUAGGAAAGUAACGAAACAAUCAUACGGAUAGUAUGUUAAGAGAUAUUCAGGUUCUUGUGAGACAGGGCCAGAACGGUUUCUGGAUUUCCUGUUCCGAAUUUGGAAAUUCAUUACAAAUUAACCAGAGACAAUUAGGAGUCAAUCCAUAUAUGUAUAGAUUCCUCUCUGAGUCUAGUUUCUAUAGAAACAAACGGGAUCAGUAUUGAAGCCCUGUACUGGGAGAUAUCCAAGUCGUAAUGUGCAAAGGUCAGUGCAGUCGAUCCCUGUAACAUGGGAGAUUUUGACUAAUAAACUGUACUAAUUGGCCCAACCAAAAAUUCUAUAAAAAAAUAUGUAGAUGAGCAUAUGAGUCUAGUUUCAGGGAAAAUUUACGGAACUGGAUUCCGAGUUUCUGAACUCAAGAUAUGAUUUUUAAACCGACUAGUACGCAGAUUGGCAGUGUCUGGGAAAUUUUUUUUAAAGUCUGUUAACACCUCGUGUUCGACUCCGGUGACGGUCUCGGGUUCGGGGUGUUACAUUUGAUUGGUAUCAGAGCUACGGUUUAGUCGAUUCUAGGACUACCGUAAUGCGUUGGGUCUAGCUAUACAUGCCAUUUUAAGUGAUUAUUUGAUAGUGUGGUGAUUUCUGACAUUUGCAAAUGUGUUUAUUUAUAGUAAUGGAUCCCGACCCCGACCGAGCGGUAGCUGAUGAUCUUGAGAGUGUAGCGCCUGGUCCCGCACAAGGGACAGCGCCGGCGGACUCUCAACCUAAUGCUAGUAACCCGAAUGAUGAAGCUAGAUAAGCUUUCUAUAGCGUGAUGAAUGAUUGGUUCAACCAAUACAUUCGAACUAAUACGGCUGUUCCACAACCUCCAUUCCCGGCAAAUACCACCCCCGCACCUACAAUACCUCCGGAAACUGACCAAAUAAGGUCAAAUAAGCCCCCAGUUGACAGAAUCCGAAAACAUGGGGCUACUGAAUUUAAAGCUACGGACAGCGAUGAUGCCGAGCAAGCUGAAUUUUGGUUGGACAACACUAUCCGGGUACUCGAUGAGAUAUCUUGUACACCCGAUGAAUGCCUAAAGUGUACUAUCUCCUUGUUACGCGAUUCUGCCUACUAUUGGUGGAAUACUCUGACUUCUGUUGUGCCCCGAGAGCAAGUAACUUGGGAGUUUUUCCAAACUGAGUUUCGGAAAAAGUAUAUCAGUCAGAGAUUUGUUGAUCAAAAACGGAAGGAAUUUCUUGAGCUUAAGCAAGGUUCUAUGUCGGUUACUGAUUACGAGCGAAAAUUUGUUAGACUUAGUAGAUACGCUCGGGAAUGUGUUUCGUCCGAGGCUAUCAUGUGUAAACGCUUCGAGGAUGGGCUGAAUGAAGAUAUAAAAAUGUUCGUGGGCAUUCUUGAAAUACGAGAGUUCGUAGUACUUGUCGAGCGAGCUUGUAAAGUCGAAGAGCUUAGAAAAGAAAAACAAAAAGUUGAUGUGGGAACUGGAGAGUUUCGUAAAAGAUCUUCGGGAAAGUCUCUUCAACAGGCAUCGAAGAAAUUUCGAGAUGAUGUGGGCUGGUCGAGAGGCACUUCGGGCCUUUUUAGAUGAAAUCGUGAUCGACCCCCUGUGGGUACACGAGGCACUUCGGUCGCCAGUGUUGGGAAUGAACGUCGAGACAGAACGAAAUGUCGAUAUUGCGGUAAAUGGCAUUCGGGGAGUUGUAGAUUCCCUGACCGCUCCUGUUACAAGUGCGGAUCAGUUGACCACUUCAUUAAAGAUUGCCCGAGGUUGUCUGAACAGAAUGUAAAUCAGAGUGGGAAACCGGGUGCUACCACUGCUCGAGGUAGACCAUCUGGAAAUACGGGCAAUGCUGGUGGUGGUCAGAGAGGAUCUAGAGAUGCUACGACCAGAUCCAAGGCUCGUGCGCCUGCUAGAGCUUAUGCUAUACGUGCCCGCGAGGAUGUUUCUUCGCCUGAUGUUAUUACCGGUACUUUUACUCUCUUUGAUACUAAUGUAAUUGCUUUGAUUGACCCCGAUUCUACUCAUUCUUACAUAUGUGAAACCUUAGCAUCCAGUAAGAAUUUACCUAUUGAGUCUACUGAGUUCGUAAUUCGGGUGUCAAAUCUCUUGGGUCGUUACGUGCUUGUCGACAAAGUGUGUAAGAAAUGUCCCCUAGUAAUUCGAGGUUCCUGUUUUCCGGUGGACUUGAUGCUUUUUCCGUUUAAUGAAUUUGAUGUUAUUCUCGGGUUGGAUUGGUUGACCGUGCAUGAUGCGGUUGUGAAUUGCAAAAGCAAGACUAUUGAAUUGAGGUGCACAAAUAACGAAGUAAUCCGAGUUGAGUCUACAGACUUGGAUGGGUUGCCAGCUGUAAUAUCCUCAAUGUUGGCCCAGAAAUAUGUAAGAAAAGGGUGCGAAGCAUACCUUGCAUAUGUACUUGAUGACAAAGAAUUAGAAAAGAAACCCGAAUCUGUGCCGGUGGUUUGUGAAUACCCGGAUGUUUUUCCUGAAGAAUUACCGGGUUUACCACCUGUUCGAGAGAUAGAGUUUGGUAUUGAGCUUGUACCUGGGACUACGCCGAUUUCGAUGGCUCCAUAUCGUAUGGCACCAACCGAGUUAAAAGAGUUGAAAGCUCAGUUGCAAGAAUUGACGGAUAGAGGUUUUGCUCGACCAAGUUUCUCACCUUGGGGUGCACCAGUAUUGUUCGUGAAAAAGAAGGACGGAACCAUGAGGUUAUGCAUUGACUAUCGUCAACUGAAUAAAGUGACGAUAAAGAACAAAUAUCCAUUACCGCGUAUCGAUGAUUUGUCGGUUAUUACCGACAAUUUGUAAAAGGUUUCUCGACGAUAGCCACACCAAUGACGAAGCUACUUCAAAAGGAUGUUAAGUUCGAAUGGAUGGAGAAAUGUCAGAAAGGUUUCGAUCAACGGAAAACUUAUUUGACUGAACCUCCAAUUUUAGUGCAACUCGAAUCAGGCAAAGAGUUUGUCAUUUAUAGUGACGCAUCCCUACUUGGGUUGGGUUGCGUAUUGAUGCAAGAAGGUCGAGUGGUGGCCUAUGCGUCGAGACAAUUAAAGCCACAUGAGAAAAAUUAUUCGACCCAUGACCUUGAACUAGCUGCCAUCGUAUUUGCUUUAAAAAUAUGGCGACAUUACUUAUUUGGUGAAAAGUGCCAUGUAUUUUCGGAUCACAAAAGUCUCAAAUAUUUGAUGACUCAAAGAGACUUAAAUCUGCGACAAAGACGUUGGCUUGAGUGUUGAAAGAUUACGAGCUUGUCAUUGAUUACCACCCGGGAAAGGCUAAUGUGGUUGCGGACGCCUUAAGCCGGAAAUCAUUGUUUGCUUUACGAGCGAUGAAUGUGCACUUGUCUUUUCUACCCGACAAUGUGUUAGUAGCUGAAUUAAAAGCCAAACCAUUAUUGAUUCAUCAAAUUCGUGAAGCCCAGAAAGUUGAUGAUGAAUUGGUUGCAAAACGGGCUGAGUGUGUUCCGAACAAGGAAUCGGAGUUUCAAAUUGAUAAUGAUGAUUGUUUGAGGUUCAGAAGUCGUUUGUGUGUUCCAAGGAAUUCGGAACUCAUUUCGAUGAUUCUGAACGAAGCCCAUUGUAGCCGAAUGUCAAUUCACCCGGGGAGUACGAAAAUGUACAACGAUUUGAAACGUUGGUUUUGGUGGCAUGGUAUGAAACGAGACAUCUCCAACUUUGUUUCGAGAUGUUUAAUAUGUCAACAAGUGAAAGCAGAACAUCAAGUGCCUUCAGGAUUACUUCAGCCGAUCAUGAUACCCGAGUAGAAAUGGGAUCGAGUCACAAUGGACUUUGUGUCCGGACUGCCAUUGUCAGCAAGUAAGAAAGAUGCGAUUUGGGUUGUUGUCGAUAGACUGACUAAGUCGGCUCACUUUAUCCCCGUGCGUACGGAUUUUUCAUUGGAUAAACUAGCCGAAUUGUAUGUUUCUCAGAUUGUGAGAUUACACGGGGUACCUAUUUCUAUCGUGUCGGAUAGAGAUCCGAGAUUCACCUCGCGAUUUUGGAGGAAAUUGCAAGAAGCUUUGGGUACCAAGCUGCAUUUUAGCACUGCUUUUCACCCCCAAACCGAUGGUCAAUCUGAGCGGAUAAUUCAGAUACUUGAGGAUAUGUUGAGAUGUUGCAUCCUCGAGUUCAGUAGUUCAUGGGAACGGUAUUUACCUUUGAUUGAAUUUGCUUACAACAAUAGUUUUCAAUCAAGUAUUAAGAUGGCACCUUACGAGGCUUUGUACGGUCGUAAAUGCCGUACACCAUUGUUUUGGACCGAGCUCGGUGAAAGUAAAAUUUUCGGAGUUGAUUUGAUUAAGGAUGCCGAACAGAAAGUAAAGGUAAUCCGUGAAAGUCUGAAAGCAGCCACAGAUCGUCAAAAAUCGUAUGCGGAUUUGAAACGAAAAGACAUUGAAUAUCAGGUGGGAGAUAAAGUGUUUCUUAAAGUUUCGCCUUGGAAAAAGGUACUCAGAUUUGGCCGUAAGGGCAAGUUGAGCCCGAGAUUCAUUGGGCCGUACGAAAUCUCCGAACGAGUUGGUCCGGUUGUUUGAUUUUGCCCCCUGAACUUGAAAAGAUUCACGAUGUCUUUCAUGUUUCGAUGCUUCGACGUUAUAGAUCCGAUCCGUCACAUGUGAUUAAUCCCUCAGAAGUUGAAAUUCAAUCUGACUUGAGUUAUGAAGAAGAACCGAUUCGUAUCCUAGCUCGUGAAGUAAAAGAGUUGCGAAACAAAAGGGUUCCGUUAGUUAAGGUGUUAUGGCUCAAACACGGGAUCGAGAAAGCUACUUGAGAAACCGAGAGCUCGAUGAAAGAACGAUACCCAAACCUAUUUACCGGUAAGAUUUUCGGGGACGAAAAUUUCUUAAGUGGGGGAGAGCUGUGACAGCCCAAAAUUGACCCUAGUCGGGAAGUGGUUUCAGAACCGCUAAACCGAGUCACCGAAAUGUUUGAAUGUGAUAUUUAUUGUCUAGAAUAUGUAAUUAUGAAUGUCUGAAAAUUUCAAGCUUCGAUUUAGUCGAUUGCAUGUGAAUUUAGUCAAUAGGACUUAUGUGCGACAUUUUUGAAAUGUGAUAGGUCGAAGCAUAAGGACCCAUUAGUGCAUGAAAUAAAAAGGGGGGACUUGCAUGUCAAAUUCCCCCCUAAUUAGUAGUGGCCGGCCAUGACAAGCAUGGUAGACCAAGUGUGAUGGGCAAGACAUGUCAUAGACAUGUUGUGUUGGUGCAUCAUGUGUGGAAAAAAAUAAAAUAAGGAGCAUGGGCAUAAAAUAAUGAAAGAGAAUAUGAUGAAAACAAAAAAAAAGUGUGUGGUUGUUUCCCCCCCCCAUUGCCGUGAGUUAAAGAAAAGAAAAGAGAAAAUUUUGUUCAUCCUUUUUCAUCUUCAUUUGGCCGAAAAAUCUAAGGAAGGAGGAAGGAGUUCUUGCUUCAUGUUUGGUUUGGAAGAGGAUUAGGAGGAGGUUUGGCCAUACUUGUAUCUAGAUCAAGGUAUGUUUGAGGUUGUGCCAUGAGAUUCAUGCAUGUUUUUAGUUGCUAGCUUGAGUUCUAAUUAGCCCAUGGUUCAAAUCUUUGCUAUGUCAUGGGGAUGAUAUUCGGCCUAGGUAGAUUUUGUGUUAAUGCCAUUGCAUGCUAAAUAUGAAGCUUGUUAAUGAUGCAUGUGAUGGUGGAUUGAUGAUUCUUGAAUCUUCUUUUUAGCAUUUUUGAGUGAGCACAUAUGUGCAUUGGUUGCUAGAUGGAGAAGAAUCGGCUAGCAAGUUGUGUGCUAAGGCCGAAUAUAAUUUUUGUAUAUUAAUGAGUAAUACAUGUGUUAAAUUGAUGGAAAGGGAGAUGAUGCUUUACUAGUGUAUAUAUGUGUGUAUUAGCCAAGUUUUGAACUUGAAACAAAAGGGUGUUUAGUCAAUACAAGUGACCAUACUUGUAGAAUGUAUUAAGUGUUGAAAUCGGCCCCAACAUAGACAUGCAUAUUCGGCCAUAGGAAGGAGAUUGGUGUUGCAUGUAUUCGGUUAGAGGCAAGCAUAUUGAUGCUUUUGUCUUGGCUUAGAAAAUUCGGCCAAGGGGGAAAAUUAGCUAAAAUGUUGAGUUUGAUUCAUGAUUCCGUACAUAUGUGACUUUAAUGUCUAAUGUAUAAAUAUGGGCUAAGUGCCUUGUGUUCCGCUUUUUGAUGCUCAAAUGAUUAAAUCAAUUUAUUUGUUUAAUUAAGCUCAAGAGAAAAGGGGAACUAAAUCCGAUAAAGGGAAGGAAAAAGUGGUCGAAUAGCUAUCGGAAUCGUUCGACAACACCCGAGGUAAGUUCUUGAGUAAAAGAGCUUAAAUUUUGAUUUGAUUAGAUCAUUUUUUAAGCAAAUUAAAAUCAUGCUCUUUGUGUGGCUAUUGAGCCGAAAUUGCAAGAAUGAUAAAUGUCUUGUGUUUGAGUUUUGCUAACGAAAACGAAAUACGAAUGUGCCAUGAUUUAUUGUUAAAUGUGCAUGGUUAUUUGAAUGAUGUCCGGGCUAAGUCCCGAAGGCUUUGUGCUAAGUGACCAUAUCCGGACUAAGAUCCGAAGGCAUUUGUGCGAGAUACUAAUUCCGGGCUAAGCCCGAAGGCAUUUGCACGAGUUACUAAAUCCGGGUUAAGUCCCGAAGGCAAUUGUGCGAGUUACUAUAACCGGGCUAUGUCCCGAAGGCAUUUGAACGAGUAGCUAUAUCCGGUUAAAUUCCGAAGGUACGUGAUUUGGGAAUGAAUGAUCUUGCUGUAAAAAUUUCAGUAAAUACUCUAGAAACAUCCCAACAUUGAGGUAUGUUUCGUAUGUGCUUGAAUUUAGUUGAGCCCUUACAAAUAAGUAUUCGCUCAGUUGAUAAACGAGCUACCGGCCUUUGGCUAAGUUGAUCUUUUGUGUAUGUACAUAAGGGUUGGUAAUGUGAAGCAAGUAUGAUAUCGAAAAUUUGUGCAUAUGAAAUUAUCCGUUUAGCUAUAUGAAUGCUAUACUUUUGUUGUGCUGGAAUUCCUUGCUCAAAACUUACUAAGCAUAAAUUGCUUACUCCGUUUCUUUGAUCCUCUAUUUUAUAGAUUUUGGUUCUCCAGCUAUCGGACUCGGGAUUUUGAAGUCGAAGUCACCCACACUAUCAAAGCCCCCCCUUUUGGUACAAUUUUUGUUGAACUUCGAAAUGGCAUGUAUAGGACUACCCGUUUGUUGUGGGUCAUGGACCCUUUGGACUUGUAUAAUUUUGGAUAGCCAUGCGAAAAUGGCUUAUAUAUGUUUGAGUAUAAUGUUAUAAUCAUUUGGUAGGGAUAUGGUUAUUGAGAGGUGUGGAUAUGCUUGACAAGGAUUGGCCAUGGGAAUGGUUAAUCACUAUCAUAAAUUGUGCUAUUUAUGCAAAAAGGGCUAGUUGAAUCAUGGAAACUAUGAAAUAGGUAAAGUCUACCUUAAAGGCAGAUGCUGACAGCAGCAGUGAUGUAGAUUUAGAAAAUCACUAACAAUAGUAGGAAUGGAAUUAAAUAGUGAAUAAAUUAUGUAAACGAACCUUGAUGAAUCUAUUUUCAUAGGAAAGUAAGGAAACAAUCAUAAGGACAGUAUGUUAAGAGAUAUUCAGGUUCUUGUGAGACAGGGCCAGAACGGUUUCUGGAUUUCCUGUUCCAACUUUGGAAAUUCAUUACAAAUUAACCAGAGACAAUUAGGAGUCAAGCCAUAUAUGUAUAGAUUCCUCUCUGAGUCUAUUUUCUAUAGAAACAAACAGAAUCAGUUUUUAAGCCCUGUACAGGGAGAUAUCUAAGUCGUAAUGCGCAAAGGUUAGUGUAGUCGAUCCCUGUAACAUGGGAGACUUUUACUAAUAAACUGUACUAAUUGGCCCAACCAAAAAUUCUAGAAAAAAAAUAUGUAGAUGGGCAUAUGAGUCUAGUUUCAGGGAAAAUUUAUGGAACUGGAUUCUGAGUUUCUAAACUCAAGAUAUGAUUUUUAAAGCGACUAGUAUGCAGAUUGGCAGUGUCUGGGAAAUUUUUUUUAAAGUCUGUUAACACCUCGUGUUCGACUCCGGUGACGGUCUCGGGUUCGGGGUGUUACAAUGUAGGGAACCUUUUGCCCUUGUGCCAUAAGAGAAGUGCAGUAGAACGAUUCCAAUAGAUGAAGGAAGGAUUGCAUCGCUUUGACCAGACAAAGCAACCUCGAAUCUCUCAAUCAGAAGCUGUAGAUAGACUGACUAGCCCCACUGGUAGUCCAAUUCCAUCCGCUGUCUCCCUCUCUUGAUAAAGAAAAUUUUUCUACGUCGACGACGACGUAAUUGAAGUCUACGUCGACGACAUGAUCGCCAAAUCUCGGACUGAAGAAGAGUAUGUGCAAGUCUUGAGGAAAUUAUUUUUGAGGUUGAGGAAAUUCCAACUGAAACUCAAUCCAGCGAAGUGUACCUUCGGGGCCAGGUCUGGAAAACUACUAGGAUUCGUAGUCAGUGAAAAAGGGAUUGAGAUUGACCCAGAUAAAGUCAAAGCCAUACAAGAGUUACCUCCACCACGUACUCAGAGGGAAGUUCGGGGAUUCCUAGGAAGAUUAAAUUACAUCGCUCGGUUUAUUCCACAACUAACCGAGAAAUGUGACCCCAUAUUCCGUCUUCUUAAAAACACAACCCUGGUGUUUGGGACGAGGAAUGCCAGAAGACGUUCAACAAAGUUAAGCAAUAUUUGUCUAAUGCUCCAGUGUUGACACCACCUAGUCCAGAUAAGCCACUGAUACUGUAUUUGACGGUAUUUGAAAAUUCUAUGGGAUGCGUGCUUGGCCAACACGAUGAAUCAGGAAGGAAAGAAAGAGCGAUAUAUUACCUCAGUAAAAAGUUUACUGAGUGUGAGACGAGAUACUCGUUCAUUGAAAAGUUAUGUUGUCCCUUAAUCUGGACAACCCGAAGACUGAGACAAUACAUGUUGUAUCACACAACUUGGAUAAUCUCUAAAAUGGACCCUCUGAAGUACUUGAUGGAGUCGACUACCUUGAACGGGAGAAUGGCCCGAUGGCAAAUUCUACUUUCUGAAUUCGAUAUAGUCUAUGUGAACCAGAAGGCCGUAAAAGGGAGUGCGAUAGCAAAUUUCCUAGCCAGCAGAGCCCUAGAGGACUACGAGCCUCUAAACUUUAACUUCCCAAAUGAAGAUCUAAUGUACAUAGCAACCACUGAAGAAGAUCCUCAAGAAGGUCAUCCUUGGAAGCUAAACUUUGACGGAGCAUCAAAUGCUGUAGGCAAUGGAAUCGGGGCAGUCCUGGUAUCCCCGAACGGAGAUCAUUAUCCCUUCACUAGUAAAUUGGAUUUUGACUGCACGAACAAUAUGGAAGAAUACGAAGCAUGCAUCAUGGGUAUAUGUGCGGCCAUAGAACGUAAAAUCAAGGUGUUAGAGGUAUAUGAAGAUUCUGCCCUAGUGAUUUAUCAACUCAAAGGUGAAUGGGAGAUGAGAGACCCCAAGUUGAUCAAUUAUCGAAGGCUGAUCCUUGAAUUAAUUAAAGAGUUUGAUGAUAUUGUCUUCUGCUACCUCCCGCGAGAGGAAAAUCAGAUGGCUGACGCCCUAGCGACUUUAGCUUCUAUGAUCAAGGUGAACCAACCAGAGGAUGUGAAACCAAUCCAAAUGAGCAUUUACGAGGCCCCGGCUCAUUGUUACAACCUCGAAGAAGAAGAAGAAAAUGAUGAUCACCCUUGGUACCACGAUAUCCUGCGAUAUGUGAAGAAUCGUGAGCACCCCGACCAAGCUACUGAGAACGACAAAAGAACUUUGAGAAGACUGGCCCAUGACUAUGUCUUAAAUGGGGAGAUCCUAUACAAAAGAAGAAAGGAUCAAGUACUGUUGAGAUGUGUAGAUGCUAUAGAGGCUAAGAAAAUCUUAGAGGAAGUCCAUGAGGGCGUCUGUGGGACACAUGCUAAUGGCUUCACAAUGGCCAGGCAAUUAUGAGAUUUGGUUAUUAUUGGUCCACCAUGGAAGGAGACUGUGUUAACUACGCCAAAAGAUGUCAUAAGUGCCAAAUCUAUGGAGACAAGAUUAAUGUACCUCAUUUACCUUUGCAUGUCAUGACUUCGCCCUCUAUGCUUAUCGAACGUCUGUCAAGACUUCCACCGGAGCAACGCCUUUCUCAUUGGUCUAUGGAAUGGAGGCAGUUUUACCUAUCGAGGUCGAGAUCCCUUCCCUCAGAUUUUUUUCAGAGGUAAAGUUGGAUGAAGCAGAAUGGAUCCAGUCCCGAUAUGACCAGUUGAAUUUGAUUGAAGAAAAGAGGCUAAAGGCUAUCUGUCAUGGUCAAAUGUACCAAAAGCGAAUGAUGCGAGCUUACAACAAAAAGGUUCAUCCUACAGAAUUCCAUGAGGGAGACCUAGUAUUAAAAAAGAUCCUCCCCAUACAAAAGGAUUUUAGGGGAAAAUGGACGCCGAAUUGGGAAGGACCUUAUGUGGUAAAGAAAGCCUUUUCGGGAGGAGCAUUGAUAUUGGCCGAAAUAGAUGGCAAGACUUUACCCAAUCCCGUGAAUUCGGAUUCGGUUAAAAAGUACUUCGCCUAAAAAAAAAGGGAGAGGCUAGGGUGAAAACUCGCAAAGAGCACCUUGGGACCAAAGGGAUUUUGAAUUGAAAACCCGUAAAGGGCGAUUCAAAUUUUGAUUAAAAGUGGAGCAUACGAUGGUCUGAUGAUACCCAAAUUAACAAGGAAGAGAGAGGUUACGUCUUGGGGCAUCUACAAGGGUACUCUAGAUCCCCUAAACACAUGUCGGGCAAAAAGGGAGUCCUCAAAAAGUUAGCACAGAGAAGCUCACGCUGCGAUAUCUCGGGCACCUAUUCCCUUCUUAUUCAUUUUGUAUUCCAGCAAUGUUUGUUAACUGUGAUGAAUCUACUCCCUUCAAAUUUUGUUUCUGAUAAAUUUCAGUUCUGUCAUUAUAAUCUUUUUCAAGAAUUUUGCAUUAAAAUGAUGAUUAAUGGACUAAAAGCCAUUUUCGCAAAAAGAGUUCUGCAUAUUACUCUGAAAGUUUCUAAAUAGUAUAGGGACCUAGAACAGGACUAUUAUUUAGAACUAACCAAACUCAAAGAUUCGAAGCAUGUGAGAAGAAAUAGUUUAAAUUGGGACUACCUCUUCGAGUUUUCUGUUCAAAAUUUGAGCUGAACAAGAAGAUAAGGUACCAUUUCAGUGAAAGAACCUUGAUGAACAAAGAGCAAUGGCCACCUAAACAUUAAAAGGGAUUCACGCUCACAACAUGUUGCACCCAUACAUUCAAAGAUCAUUCAUAAUGCAUCUAAUUAGGAGCAUUUGAUUCAUUUUGAUCAUAGCAUCCUAAUUCUUUGGCAUAAGCAUAAAUACAUGAAACUGAUUCUACAAGUCAUGUUCCUAGAAUCAGUGAAUUCACCAAGCCUUAACCCCCUAAACAGUAGGGUAACAGGUUGAAUUUACAGAUCGUAACCCCCUAAGCAGUAGGGAAACAGAUCGAACGCGACGAGCUUUAACCCCCUAAGCAGUAGGGUAACAAGCUGAAGUUCAUAGAUCUUAUCACCCUAAGCAGUAGGGAAACAGAUCAAAGAUAAUGAGCUUUAACCCCCUAAGCAGUAGGGUAACAAGCCAAAUUUACAGACCGUAAACCCCUAAGCAGUAGGGUAAUAGUCUGAAAAUUACAGAUCUUGCCUCUCUGAAGUUACAAUGGAACAGAUCGAAUCCAGCAAGUCUCAUCUCUCUGAAGCUACAGUAGAGCAGACUGAAUUUAUAGAUCUUAACCCCCUAAGCAGUAGGGAAACAGAUCGAAGAUGAUGGGCUGAACCCCCUAAGUAGUAGGAUAACAAGCCAAAUUUACAGACCUUAAAUCCCUAAGCAGUAGGGUAACAGGUUGAAUGUACGGAUCAAAACCCCCUAAGCAAUAGGGAAACAGAUCAAAUGCGAUGGGCCGUAAAUCCCUAUGCAAUAGGGUAACAGGCUAGAAAUUACAAAUGGCACUGAAGAGGUUAGAAGCCACAGCAGAUCUCCUUGAAAUUUCAGUGGAAUUGAUUGAAGCCACAAGUCUUAUCUCCCUGAAGUUGCAGUGAAGCAGUGGAGUGGAUUAAAGAAACAGGAGGCACUAGGCUGAAUAAAGCUACUUGAAGAAGAGGAGCGCUAAACAAGUCCAGACACGGUGAGACCGGGUAAAAUUGGUCUUUCUUAAGUCUUUGCUCUGUUCUCGUUACACGACAACAAGCAAAGAGGGGCACCUGUACAAGCCCAAUUUUGGGCCCAAAACCCCUCCCACCAAGCCUAAAACCCAACAAAACCAAAAUACCCAAACCCAAUUUACAUCAAACCCUAAAGCCCAAAUCCUAGCCCCUGCACAGAAGAGAAAACAGCAACAGCCCUCAAGCCUCAGUAGCACACUCGGCCAACCAAUGGCCGCCUCGCGCACCACCAC
rnacentral:lncRNA from 1 species